rnacentral:lncRNA from 1 species
CGCCGCCUCCUCCUCCUCCUGUGCCACCUUGGCGGCAGCCGCCCUCAACUCCUCCGCCUCCCGCUCCUCCCGUGCCUCCCGCGCGUUUCGCUCCGUCACCGCCUGAAGCUCGCCACGGGGGUCCACGCGGCGGGUGCUCCCGGAUCCUCCCAGCAAUCCAACGACGGAGGCGGCAGCAACCCGCUCGAGCAAAAGCAGAGCCCUGAUUUUCGAGAAAGGACAAGGAUUCAGAAAUCACCAAGAAAAGAAGAAAGAAUGUACAAAGGAGUAUAAACUUACGCUGACACCGUCUGCGGCUGCUUCACCACCUUGUAGAAGCGGGCCGCCUUCGCGGCCGCCUCAUCCCGCCUGGUCGCCGCCGCCCCGCCCUUGGGCUUCUUCGGCCGACUGCCGAACAAGCCCGACGUGGCCCGGCGCUUUUGCCCACCGCCCUGGGCAGGCGGCGCGGCGGAGGAACCCGCGCCGUGGCUGGGCGCCGGCUGGCGGCGUGGGACGAUUUCCGCCUCGUCGUCAUCCGGCCAGUCGUCGAAGCUGGCUCCGAGCCCGGAGCCGCCUGCCUUGCCGCCGGCUUCGCCGCCACCCACCUCGGUGUUUUCAUCCAUGGCGGCCGCCCCCAAGUCGUGGUCUUCCAGGUCAUGCUCCGCCCGGCCGGGGAGGAAUCGGUGCCCCGUCUCCGACCCGGUUGCUGGUCGAAGGAGAGGGCUCUGCCAAGGCAUGCCGACUGGUCAGUGUCAGCGAAGAGGAACUCGGCGACAAUACUAAGAGAAGAAAGGGAAAAGGAGAACAUACCGUGGGCGGCGGAUGUGCACGGGAAUAUGGCUCCUUGCCAAACCGCCACUAUGAGGAGACCUUGCAGUUCGCAAGAUAAUUGACCAUAUGGGCCACCUCUUCAUGCGGCAUGUCCUUGGUGCACAUCCGACUCGGAUCGAGUUGGCCGCUCAUCUGACAGAUCAGGUGAGGGCGGCUCUGAAGCGGAAGCACCCGGCGCACGAGGAAGGCGGCCAGCAAGUCGGAUCCAACCAGGCCCUCCGACUGGAUCAUCACCCGCAGUCGGGCGACGGCCGUGGCUCCAGCCUGCGACAGCGUCACGGACCGAUAGGACCACUGGGGCCGCCUCCCAGCUAGCGGGCCAGCUACGUAAGCCGGCAAGUUGACGUAGUCACCUUGUGGGGCGACGUUCUUCAUGUAGAAAUAUGACUUCUGCCAGAGCUUCACCGACUGGAUUAACGCGAUGACGGGGAAGGGGUUGUCGGCCGCCGGCCUCCGCAUCGCGAUGAAGGCGUCGCUCUGGGCCGGCACGCCCUGCAUGCGGGUGCCCAGCUUCAAUUGGAAGAACUCCCCCCAGAGCUCGAGGGUGGGGAGAACGCCAAGAAAGCCUUCGCACAAGGUGACGAAGGCGCACAGCAGCACCACCGUGUUCGGAGGGAGGUGGUGCGGCUGGAGUUGAUAGAAUUCGAGGAAGGAGCGGAAGAAAGCGCUCACCGGCAAGCCGAGGCCGCGCAGGAAGUGCGAGCAGAAGACUAACCGCUCGCCUUCCUCCGGCGCCGGCGUGAUCUCCUUCGCAGGUGCGAGAUGGACCCGCACCUGGUCCGCGCCGGGCAACCGCCGCGUCUUGCGGAGGAACUCGAUGUGGUCCAUAUGGACGUUGGAGCCGUCCCAGUCCCCGCCGUACUGCAUGAUGGCGAGAAGCUAACAAGGAAGAGUGCGGCGGCGGAGAAAGCAUGGCCCUGCGGCGGCAAAGCUGCAGGGUGGAGUGAAGAUUGAUGGGACGGCGAGGCGGCGAGGCGCUGCUGUGAGAGAAAGCAGGAGGAAGAAGAUGGCGGAGAGGAGAGGAGCGUGCGAGCGUCUGCCGCUUCCCCUCCUCCCCCUACUUAUGGCCUCGUGUGGCGAAGCCGAGGAGGCGAGGCGUGGGGAGGAACGUGGGAUUAACUGCGCCCACUCCCCCAUGCCCCGCGAUUACUGCGCCCUAACGACGUGCGGAAACUGCCACCGGAAGACAUGCAGACAACUUUGGGCCACAAAGAAUCCGCGCCUGGGCCCAGGCGUUGGAGUGGUGGGCCCUCGGCCUGCGGCGACGCCUUGUCGCGCGCGUGGGUUAGCAGGCUCUUUUCAGCCAAGGGACGCCACGUGGUUCGCAGGCGGUGAGUGACUGGCUCGAGGCCCGGUGCACGCACCAACAGACUCCCGCCUUCCGACUUUAAAUUUUUUUCCAAGACGGCGCGCCCAACCGAAACCGGCUCCCAGCUGAUGGCUCGUCAAGAUAAGAAGCUGACCAAGCUUCUCGGCCUCCUCUCAGCCUCGAAGCCCAACCAGCUUCCGGGACUACUGUCGGAGUAAAUGGCCACGGGUAGCCUAACCUACUCCCCCUGGCUCUUUGAAAAAUUAUCGGGCCAUUCAAGCCUUCAAGCAUACAAAGCAUAUGGUCGCCUUCCCCCGGCCGGCUAUCCCCAGGGCCGACUUCCAGAAGCCGGCCAUGAGGAAAGCCGACUCUCAGAAGCCGGCCAUGAGGAAAGCCGACUCCCAGAAGCCGGCCAUGAGGAAAGCCGACUCCCAGAAGCCGGCCAUGAAGAAAGCCGACUCCCCGAAGCCGGCCAUGAAGAAAGCCCGCUCCCAGAAGCCGGCCAAGACUGCACUCACUAAAGACUGUACGCACAUAACGGCGAUAGGAUGGGGCGUGGCCGCAGUACAGCCCACUGCCCCUGAUUCCCGGAACAGGCAUGGCUACAGGGCGCCUUACGGGCCAGCCAUCCCCCGUCCGGCGUGGCACUGUAGCCGUGUUGACCUCGAUGUCACCCACGACAGGCGCUAGUACGGCCCGUAGGCGGCGGGCCCCUUUUGCCAGAGAGACAUCCGAAGGCGGCCUGGCCUCCUCUAGUCGGCCAGGGGUGUGGCCGGCUCCUAACAGCCGGCUACCUCCCUCCCUCAAAACAUGUGCCUCAUUAAGGAGACAAGACGAGGUAAGGCUACAGUGAGAGCCCGCAAGGCAGCGGCACUGUAGCCACGCUUACCUCAACAAAGCUCUCGUCAUCAGAGGCGAGGCAACAGUAACCAGCCGCCGACAAAGCGCCCAAGCGGUGGGGCCGGCCUGUCGGCCUAGAGGCCGGCAGCCGGCGGGACCCACCAGUCGGCGGGCCCCAAUGACCGGCGGAGAAGCCGGCGUGCAUAGACGCUGAUGGCUGGGAGCCGCGCCCAGCCGGAUUACCAUUGUACCCCUGGGGGUAGGCAUAUAUAAACCCCCCGGGACACCCAUGCAAAGGGUUGAUCGAAGAGAAUUCCACACACCACAUAGAGGGAAAAGGAGAGGUAGCCUUGCCCUUCUUCUUCCUCUAGCCAAACAGCUCAAGGAGCGCUUGUAGCUACUUGUAUUGGUCUAGUGAUCAUGCGGAGACCCCGCAGAGCAGGACUAGGGGUGUUAUCUCCACGGAGAGCCCCGAACCUGGGUAAGAUUCGCCGGCGUGCAUGUCUUCGCCUCAUCCCGUUUCCAGGCACCGGCGACGUUUUACUGGCUCCCACUAUGAUAAGCCAUCCGUUGGCAUAUGUCGCACCUACCACCCGACACCACCCCUUUGUUCGAGGGCUCAUGUUCUAUUACGGGCUAGAUUUCCACGAUCUAACUCCGGAUUCCUUCCUUCAUAUCUCGGCGUUCAUUAUCACAUGCGAGGCCUUCCUCCGUGUUCCCCCACACUUCAGCUUGUGGCUCAAGACCUUUAAUGUGAAGCCUAAGGUAGUCGACAGGAAACAAGCGAAGUGCGGUGGUGCUGUACUGAGCAAACUCAUCAACGCUCCUUGGCCUAAAGGAUCCUUCUCAGAAUCUUCCGACUUAUGGCAGCGGGAGUGGUUUUACAUCACUGAACCCCGUGGUACCAAGUGGGUGGCUACACCUGCGUUCCAAUCUGGCCCUGCAAUUCAGCUUGCAUCAUGGGUUAAUAAGGGAUUGGACUGGGGAUCAAUCGAUGAAGUGCAGACUCUACAGAGCCGCAUACGGAGUCUCCUUGAGAAGAACACCGAACUCAUUGACGUGAUUCAAGUAAUGUUAGUCUGUCGGGUCCUCCCGUGCCAGCGACGGCCACUAUGUAUGUGGGAGUUCAAUCCGGAAGGACCACGAACCCUUCAGCACUUCUUUGGUGCGACACACAGAGGAAUGUGGAAACUAUUUUUCGGGACACGAAAAUAGUGGCCGGAUACAACAGAGGACAUAGGCCUCGAUUGCAACCAUCCGGAUACCUCGGUAAGCACUUGACUCCUGAACACAGUUUGAGUUAAACAUCUCAUAAUAGGAUACUAAGAAAACCACCUUUUUCCAGGGCUGGAUAAAGAAGGCAGAGCAAAUCCGGUGUUCGGCCCCUCUCCCCGAAGACUCAGCUAGUCCUGUGCUAACAAGGAUGCUGAUCCCGGCGCCAUGCCAAGUGUUCGUGAGGGAGGACAAUAAGGAGAGCGAGGGAGUCAAAGGUAGCCUCGGUGGUACACCAAACACUGUGUCUGGGGAGAUUAAGGCUCGUUUUUCCGAGGACAAAAGAGAAGGAGAAGAUGUCAUCCAUUCUCCUCAUAGUAAGAAAAGGGCCGCCUCCGAAGUUCGGGAGGCAAUGGCUCCUAAGCGAGGCAAGACGCCCCUGUCAGGCGUUUCGGGUUCGGAGGGUGAUGUUGUCGCACUGUUCCUCUAGAAGGACAAGCCUUCAGCCGAAUCGUAAGUGAAUCAAGGUGCUUUAAACAUAUCCCAUUCCUCUUCCUGUUACCAGGGUUACAUUUAAUACACACAUUUGCAGUCCGGCGCGCAGUCUUCCUCAACAGUUCUCCUCCUCGGGGGAUCUGCUUCUGGAGAUGAUGGAGAGCGAAAUGCCUCCACAGGUUUCCUCGCCCAAUAGGUCGGACAACUUCAAGGUGUCGUCCCGGAGGAUCCUUCCCGAUCAACAAGUGGUGCGGGGGACAUCAAAGACAACGCCCGAAGGUGAGACUUCGGUUGCCCAGGGCCCAGAGUGUGUGGCCCCGAUGGGGGUCAAACAUAAAGGUCUCGGGCUAUCCGGUUUAUAGCCGGGGGCGACUCCAGAGUCGAGUGAAUACGCCUCUUCAAAGAGAGUCUGCGCUCCCACGGCCGCCCCCAGAAAUCCGGAGGUGCUGGAUACCAUGAUGGGCAUGCUGCAACAUGCAUCCGUCUCGGAGGAGCAUCGUACCUUAAUGAGUACGAUAGCUGAAAGGAUUCUGUCCGCGAAAAGCGGGUUGAACGAAGCCUUCAUGAGCCUGCUAAGAGGCUUUGAGGUACGUACUAUAAUAUUUUCAAUUUGUGCUCUAUAUGCAAAAUGCACCUGUGUAUAGGUAGUAGCCCCUGAGACUCUGGUUGGCGUCCAAAGGAAGGCAAUCAGAGGAUCGAAAGAUAUGCCCAGGAGAUAGUCUAAUUAAUUGAAACAUAGGUUGUUACCUUCAUGACAACUGCCCACGCUACGGAGGUUGCAGGUCUGAAGGAAAAACUUGAUGUGGUGGAUGAUGACAUCACGCUUAUUAACAGGCGGCUCGAUGAGGCACAAGGUAUGUGUUCGGGGCAGUCAGUAUAUGUAUGUAUGAUAACAUGAGCACGAAGCUAGGGUUGUAUACUGAGACAUGCAUAACUGCAGAUGGUGCUGCCGCGGUGGAAAUCCUUCGGGAUGAACUUGCCCGAGCCAAGGAGCAAGCCCGGAUGAGGAAUUUGGCUGCCAAUAAGGCAGCUGAUGAGUUAAAAGCUGAACAGGCUGCUCGGCGCCAGUGUGAGGACAGAAUUUCUAUGAUGGCGCGCGAGCUAAAAGAAACCACUGCCCGGUGCAAAUUCCUCGAGAGGGAUAACAAAGCCAAAGCGGCAGACCUUGACAAGGCCUUACAAGAGGCGAAAGAAGCCCGAUCCGAGUCUAGAGCGGCUCGGGAGGAGAUCCGGCAAGCUGGGGAGAUAGCGGCCGGUAAGCCUUUCUUAUUACAGACUAAAUUCGGCGAUCUGAAGUAUGCCCCGCUUAAUCAGAUGUGGAGCUCCCCAGACGCGUUCUUGGACUUGCCGAAGAGUGCCUCCGAUGCGGCACAAUUUUACCAAGCGCAGGAAGGGUGCGCAACGGAGAAGCUUUUCUGGUCACAAUUCGGCGCGCCAAAGCGUCCGCUGUUACUGAGCGAGCAGAUGGCCCAGUGGGCCGAGCUCCACAAGAUAUCCGGCUCUACCAUGAAGGACGUCAUACUUCGGCUGUGGCCGGCUGAGCCAAUUCCGAAUAGUUAUUUCGGUUUGGUGCAGCGACUUGUUGAUGCGGUGCCGCGUAUCGACGCUGUUAAGCGGUCGACGUGCAUUGAAGGUGCACGGAUGGCCUUUGCCCGCGUCAAGAUGUACUGGGCGAAGAUUAAGGCCACCGAUAUUGCAGCGAAGAGUCCACCCAAAGGCAAGGACCAUCACAUGCCGGAGCAUUAUUUCGAGGACGUCUUAGAGGGUGCCUGCUUAAUAGAGGGUCAGUGCUUGAAAGAUAUGAUAUUCGAGUGAAAUAUAUUGGGAUUGUAAAAACAAUAUUAUAAUACUUUAAUUUUGGCUCCUCCUGUGCGGCCGUUAUUUGUAUGUAAUUUGAAAGUUUUCCAGUCCUUGGCUUCAGCCCCCUCGCAUAAAAUGCGGGGGUGUUCAGAAAAGCGCUUGAUCACCCUUAAUCCACCGUCUUUGUCCAUAAAGGAGGUGUCAAUGCGGCAAACUAGGCAAUCGGACUAUAGGGCGUUAACACUUUCACUUAGCCAUAGCAGUUUUAUGGUGGGUCUACGAUAUAGCCCCUAGUAUGUACGCAGUUUAUCCGAAUACGGUGCGUUACAUGGGUGACCUUAAGAAUGGCCCUUCAUUUAGUACGAAAACAAUCGCAAAAGAUUCUAGUGAGUCAUCGAGUGGUUGAUCAGCUCUCGCCAUAUCAUGAUAGUCAGUUUUCGGCUUUCUCUACUGAGGUGCUCAUCCGGAUGAACCGGGACACAAUCGCAGUAGUUCUCCCUUUACUACCCUAACCGAUAUAGCGGAACGUAAGGUAGUAAGCAUAGGAGCCGGGCAACCCAACUAUUGACCAAAGACAUGAUUCGGAGCUGGUGCAUAUAAGGCCAAACUCGUGACGCCGAAGUGUGCUAUAAAGUUGUUCAGACUUUGUCGGCAACUCAUUUGUUCCCAUAUCGAGCCCCUGGCGAUUGUGCCGAGGUGCGAGUGUGAAACAACCAGAAAAAUUUAGCUCUCUAAAAGAAGCAACUACUGGAUACAGAUUAUGUUCACUGGAACUUGAUUGAUAUGUCAAUUGCCAUUGUACAAAUAACAACGCCACGACCCAGGCUAUUUGACAUGCCAGUGGUCGAAGGCUGAGGGAGAAGGUACUUUACAGGCUCGAAAUAGAGAGUGCGGUCUACAAAAAAUUAUUUGGACCUCCUGUCGCACGUCUGCGUUGCCUUGCCUCGGUGGAAGGAUUCCUUAACAGGAAUGACCUUUGGGUGAGUGUAUGAAGCUGAACUCCGAAAGAGUCCGUAAGAUGACCAAUGUUUGAGCCACCUGUAAUAAGAGAUAAAAAGUGGUUAGAAGAGAAAAGGAGGAAAUGGGAGUGCUUUUAGGCUAUUCCGUAUUGUGCCUCCGUCGAUGACUAGGGUAUUUUGAAUGCAUAGUUAUGCAUGCAUGGUGUAAACCUCGCGAGUGUGUAGGGCGAAUGGCGGAGGCCGAACUGCUAAUCCAGCUCGGAGAUUAAUCGGUUCCAUUUAAUGGGGACCGGCGGCUUAAUAGCCGAUGAUUUAUGCGGCUCUAUGAGGCCGCUUUGUACUGCGGCCAUAAUAGCCGUAGUUUGGUCAUCUAUAUGGAUGAAGUAUUCCAUAUUUACAUUUACUAUUAUGACGCCGCGUGGACCGGGCAUUUUGAGUUUUGCGCGGCUGUAGAGUGGGACCGCGUUAAAACGAGCAAGAGCGGUAUGCCCCAGAAGUGCAUGGUAGCUACUGUGGAGCGGGGCGAUAUCAAAGGUCAAGCCCUCUCUUCGGCAGUUGUUCGGCGAACCAAAAACUACUUCCAGUGUGAUAGAACCCGUGCAGUGAGUUUCUAUGCCGGUAUUGCUCCCUUGAGAAUAUUUGUGGUGGGCUUGAUUCUUGAAGGAUCAAUGCCCAUUUUGCAGACAGUGUCUUGGUAGAGUAGAUUAAGGCUGCUACCGCCAUUCAUAAGGAAUUUCGUGAGAUGGAACCCAUCGAUAAUUGGAUCGACGAUCAGAGCUGCCAGACCGUCGGGUCGGAUAUGACUAAUUUUUGGGGGGGAUCCGCUCUAUCGUGGAUAUGUCCCGUGGUGCGUGCGUGCACUCCCUCGUAGGGGUGUGAGUCACAUAUACCAUGUUUACGGUUUUUACUUCAGGGGGAAAUUGCUUCUGAACCCCGGUGUUUGGCUGGCGAGUCUCUUCGUCAUCACUGUCACUGGGCGGCCGCUUCCCCUUGUGUUCGGCAUUAAGUUUGCCGGCUUGUUUGAAGACCCAACAGCUUCUGUUUGUAUGGGUAGCUGGUUUAUCGGGGGUGCCAUGAAUCUGGCAGGGCCGGUCCAGUAUCCUGUCUAGAUUGGAUGGUCCGUAUCUAUUUGCCUUGAAUGGCUUUUUCCGUUGACCGGAUUUGGAGCCGCUAAACCCAGCGUUAACCACCGUGUCUCGCGUUAUUUCGUUAUUAUUGCGACGCUUGUGUUUAUCGCGUCGUGGCUUGCCGUUGCCGUCUCGGGCUUCCGAAGUACCCGGAUCGCUGGCGCUACGAGUGAGCCAGCUGUCCUCUCCCACGCAAAAGUGGGUCAUUAAAGCGGUAAGGGCUGCCAUGGAUUUUGGUUUUUCUUGACCGAGGUGGCGGGCGAGCCAUUCGUCCCGGACGCUGUGUUUGAAGGCCGCGAGGGCUUCGGCGUCUGGACAAUCGACGAUUUGGUUCUUUUUAAUUAAGAACCUAGUCCAGAGCUUCCUGGCUGACUCUCUACCCUGGAAGUUGUCGCGGAAGGCGUCUUCCAGAUCUUCCCAGCUGCCAAUGGAGUUUUCAGGCAGACUAUUUAACCAGUACCAAGCUGGUCCUUUGAGUUUUAGUGGGAGGUAUUUGAUGCCGUGAAGGUCAUCUCCGCGGGCCAUAUGGAUAUGGAGAAGAAAAUCCUCGAUCCAUACCGCGGGGUCUGUUGUCCCAUCAUAUGAUUCGAUGUUUACGCGUUUAAACCCUUCUGGGAAUUCGUGAUCCAUUACCUCGUCAGUAAAGCAAAGAGGGUGUGCGGCGCCUCUAUAUUGGGCCACAUUGCGCCGUAGCUCCAAUGGAGUCCGUCUGGGGUUUUUGGCCCGAGCGUGACUAGGCUUGUCAUGUCCGAAUAGGGAGCCAUUGUCACGUGUCUGGGCACACCCUCGCGAUCCGUAGAUCGAUCUGGUAUGUCCUGCUCUAUUGUCCAUGUUCUACCGAAGGUCAUAUGUAUGACCCCGAGCUGUUUUAUAUCUGCCUUUACGGUGAAGUAGGGCGGGCUGGUGUUCAGCUUGGGUUGCCAUUUUGUCCCAACCACAUGGUGGUCGGUCAGCCGCAUUGCGCGAUGAUGGUACGGGCUCCAGUGCCUCAUCAUCGAACUGAGGUAGCGAUUUACGCUUCGGGUAACUUUUGGCUGGGCGCUUGAGGCCAUAUUCCUCGGCUGUUAGGACAUCAGUCCAUCUAUCAUUGAGCAGAUCUUGGUCAGCUUGAAGUUGCUGCUAUUUAUUUUUUAGGCUCCUUGCAGUGGCUAUUAGCCGGCUCUUAAAGCGCUCCUGCUCAAGAGGUUCCUCAGGCACGAUAAAAUCCUCGUUGCCGAGGCUCACCUCCUCCUCGAAGAGCGGAAGAUAGUUGCUGUCCUCCGAGUCUACGUGUAUGGCCUGUUCAUCAGGGCUAACUUGCCCAUCUUCCCGAUCGUCCUGUUCGGCAGUUUGUUCAUCGGGAUCUUCUCUAUCUUCGGCACUGUCCGAAGUGUUAUCGUCUCCUGUGCUGGUGUUGCUGUCUUUGAUGAGGCGUGAUUUAGAGCGGCGCUGCUGACGUCGGCGCUUUGGAUGUAUCUCAGGAGGUUUAUCCUCAACUGGAUCUUCCUUGUCAUCACCGCUAUUCUCUUUUGGUGCAUCCACCAUCUAUACAUCAUACGAGGAAGUGGCCGUCCAACGUUCGGUAAACGGCGGAUUUUGGGCCUCUCCUUCUCUGGCACCGUCGUCCAUAUCGUCGAUGUUUUUGGAGCCGUAAUCGAGCGUGUCGGUUAAGUCCUCGACAGUGGCUAUGAAGUGGGCGGUGGGUGGGAAAUGAAAUUCUCCAUCAUCAGCCUCCAGUGCUAACCGGAUAUAAUUCGGCUAUGAGUCCCCUGCUAAGGAUAUAUUUUUAGUGAGUUUAGCCGUCGCCCAAGGGCGAGUGCCCGAAGAUGUCCGCGGAGCUGAAUUCGAUGAUCGACGAUCGGUCAAGCUCGACGUACGUGGAGGCACAAGGUUCGGAACCUGCAGCCAGAGAUGAGUCCAUGGUUCCGGUGACAUAGAUGUCACUUGAAGUUAGGUCUGUGAGCGGCUCCAGCGCCGCUGAGUCUGCGGCUUCCGUGGCGGGGUUGAGCUUCUCGUCCUCGGAUGGCGCAAUCUGCUCCGAAUCUAAGGCCAGAGCAGUUACAGGUGCUAUUUCCUGUGUGUGGUCUGAUGACAGAUUUAUGUCAUGUUUAUCGUGGUGGCAGGGAGCGGCAACUGCCGUGGUCUCAAAUCUGUCGAAGAUCAAGUCUUCGCGGAUAUCCGCGACGUAGUUCAAGCUUCCAAAUCUGACCUGAUGGCCAGGGGUGUAGCUUUCGAUCUGCUCCAGAUGGCCAAACGAGCUGGCCCACAGUGCGAAGCCGCCGAAUACAAAGAUUUGUCCGGGGAGGAAGACUUCCCCUUGGACAGCAUCGUUAUAGAUGAUCGAAGGAGCCAUCAGAACCUUUUGCCGACGGCACAGUGGAACUCUCAAUGAAAUCACCAAUGUCGGUGUCAAAACCGGCGGAUCUCGGGUAGGGGGUCCCGAACUGUGCGUCUAAGGUUGAUGGUAACAGGAGAUAGGGGACACAAUGUUUACCCAGGUUCGGGCCCUCUCUAUGGAGGUAAUACCCAACUUCCUUCUUGGUUGAUCUUGAUGAAUAUAAAUGUUGCAAGAGUUGAUCUACCACGAGAUCGUAAUGGCUAAAACCCUAGAAGUCUAGCCUGUAUCACUAUGAUUAUGAUGAUUGUCCUCCACGGACUAAGCCCUCCGGUUUAUAUAGACACUGGAGGGAUCUAGGGUUACAUAAGGUCAGUAACAGAGAAAGGAAUCUUCAUAUUUGGUCGCCAAGCUUGCCUUCCACGCCAAGGAGAGUCCCAUCCGGACACGGGCGAAAGUCUUCGGUCUCCAUAUCUUCAUAGCCGAUCAGUCCGGCCUACGUCUAACAGGUCGGACGCCCGAGGACCCCUUAGUCCAGGACUCCCUCACAUGCUGCUAAGUAGUAUGACUAUUAUCGCCCACAACUCUUUGUGUUCUACUCGUGCAUAUAACAUCUACGCAUAGACCUGGCUCGGAUGCCACUGUUGGGGAACGUAGUAUUUGAAAAAAAUCCUACGAUCACGCAAGAUCUAUCUAGAAGAAGCAUAGCAACAAGCGGGGAGAGUGUGUCCAUGUGCCCUCGUAGACCGAAAGUGGAAGCGUUUAGUAACGCGGUUGAUGUAGUCGAACGUCUUCGCGAUCCAACUGAUCAAGUACCGAACGCAUGGCACCUCCGCGAUCUGCACAUGUUUAGCUCGGUGACGUCCCUCGAACUCUAGAUCCAGCUGAGGCCGAGGGAGAGGUCUGUCAGCACGACGGCGUGGUGAUGGUGAUGAUGAAGUUACCGGCACAGGGCUUCGCCUAAGCACGACGACAAUAUGACCGAGGUGUAAAACUGUGGAGGGGGGCACCGCACACGGCUAAAGAUCAACUUGUGUGUACUAGAGGUGCCCCCCUCCCCACGUAUAUAAAGGAGGGAGGGGGAGGCCGGCCAGCGUCCUAGGGCAUGCCAGGAGAGGGGAAUCCUACUAGGACUCUAAGUCCUAGUAGGUUUCCACCUAAGGAAGAGGGAGAAGAAGGAAGGAAGAGGGGGAAGGGAAGGAAAGGGGGGCGCCGCCCCUUCCCUAGUCCAAUUCGGACCCAAGGGGGGGGCAGCCCCUCCUGGCCCUUCCUCUCUUCCCACUAAGGCACAUGGUGGCCCAUUAAUUCCCCCGGGGGGGUUCCGUUAACCCUCCGGCACUCUGAUAUUUAUCCGGUAACCCCCGGAACUCAUCCGGUGUCCGAAUAACAUCGUCCAAUAUAUGAAUCUUUAUGUCUCGACCAUUUCGAGACUUCUCGUCAUGUCCGUGAUCUCAUCCAGGACUCCGAAGAAACUUCGGUCAUCAAAUCACAUAACUCAUAAUACAAAUCAUCAUCGAACGUUAAGCGUGCGGACCCUACGGGUUCGAGAGCUAUAUAGACAUGACUGACACACAUCUCCGAUCAAUAACCAAUAGCGGAACCUGGAUGCUCAUAUUGGAUCCUACAUAUUCUACGAAGAUCUUUAUCGGUCAAACCGCAUAACAACAUACAUUAUUCCCUUUGUCAUCGGUAUGUUACUUGCCCGAGAUUCGAUCGUCGGUAUCACCAUACCUAGUUCAAUCUUGUUACCGGCAAGUCUCUUUACUCAUUCCGUAAUGCAUCAUCACGCACCUAACUCAUUAGUCACAUUGCUUGCAAGGCUUAUAGUGACUUGCAUUACCGAGAGGGCCCAAAGAUACCUCUCCGACAAUAGGAGUGACAAAUCCUAAUCUCGAUCUAUGCCAACUCAACAAACACCAUCGGAGACACCUGUAGAGCAUCUUUAUAAUCACCCAGUUACGUUGUAACGUUUGAUAGCACACUAAGUGUUCCUCCGGUAUUCGGGAGUUGCAUACUCUCAUAGUUAUAGCAACAUGUAUAAGUCAUGAAGAAAGGAAUAGCACUAAACUAAACGAUUAUAGUGCUAAGCUAACGGAUGGGUCUUGUCCAUCACAUCAUUCUCUAAUGAUGUUAUUCCGUUCAUCAAAUGACAACACAUGUCUAUGGCUAGGAAACUUAACCAUCUUUGAUUAACGAGCUAGUCUAGUAGAGGCAUACUAGGGACACUCUGUUUGUCUAUGUAUUCACACAUGUACUAAGUUUCUGGUUAAUACAAUUCUAGCAUGAAUAAUAAACAUUUAUCAUGAUAUAAGGAAAUAUAAAUAACAACUUUAUUAUUGCCUCUAGGGCAUAUUUCCUUCAAUUACAUGGCGAUUGCAUUUCAUACGAUAAAGCGACAACCAUAAGGCUCCUGCCAGUUGCCGAUAACUUUUACAAAACAUGGUCAUCUCAUACAACAAUUUAUAUAUCAUUACGCCUUGACCAUAUCACAUCACAGCAAGCCCUGCAAAAACAACUUAGACGACCUCUACCUUGUUGUUGCAAGUUUUACGUGGCUGGUACGGCUUAGCAAGAACCGUUCUUACCUAUGCAUCAAAACCACAACAAUUUUUCAUCAAGUGUGUUGUUUUAACCUUCAACAAGGACCAGGCGUAGUCACACUCGAUUCAAGUAAAGUUGGAGAAACAGACACCCACUAGCCACCUGUGUGCGAAGCACGGCGGUAGAACCAGUCUCAUGAACGCGGUCAUGUAAUGUCAGUCUGGGCCGCUUCAUCCAACAAUACCGCCGAAUCAAAGUAUGACAUGCUGGUAAGCAAUAUGACUAUUAUCGCCCACAACUCUUUGUGUUCUACUCAUGCAUAUAACAUAACAUCUACGCAUAGACCUGGCUCGGAUGCCACUGUUGGGGAACGUAGUAAUUCAAAAAAAUUCCUACGAUCACGCAAGAUCUAUCAAGGAGAAGCAUAGCAACGAGCGGGGAGAGUGUGUCCAUGUACCCUCGUAGACCGAAAGCGGAAGCGUUUAGUAACGCGGUUGAUGUAGUCGAACGUCUUCGCGAUCCAACCGAUCCAAGUACUGAACGCAUGGCACCUCCACGAUCUGCACAUGUUCAGCUCGGUGACGUCUCUCGAACUCUUGAUCCCGUUGAGGCCGAGGGAGAGUUUCGUCAGCACGACAGCGUGGUGACGAUGAUGAUGAAGUUACCGACGCAGGGCUUCUCGUAAGCACUACAACGAUAUGACCGAGGUGUGUUUCUGUGGAGGGGGGGCACCGCACACGGCUAGAAGAUCAACUUGUGUGUCUAUGGGGUGCCCCCUACCCCGUGUAUAAAGGAGGGCAGGAGGAGGCUGGCCGGCCCUAGGGGGCGCACCCAAGGAGUGGAGUCCUACUAGGACUCCAAGUCCUAGUAGGAUUCCACCAAGAGGGAGAGAGGGGGAAGGAAGGAGAGGGAGAGGGAGUAGGAAAGGGGGGCGCCGCCCCCCUUCCCUUGUCCUAUCUGGACUCCACGGGGGGGGGGCUGCCCUGGCUAUCCUCCACUCUCUCCAAUAGGGCCCAUGGUGGGCCAUUAGUUCCCCCGGGGGUUUCCGGUAACCCCUCCGGCACUCCGGUUUUACCCGAAACCAUCCGGAACAUUUCCGGUGUCCGAAUAACAUGGUCCAAUAUAUCAAUCUUUAUGUCUCGACCAUUUAGAGACUCCUCUUCAUGUCCGUGAUCUCAUCCGGGACUCUGAACUUUUGGCGAACGCAGUAAUUUCAAAAUUUUGCCUACGAUCACGCAAGAUCUAUCUAGGAGAAGCAUAGCAACGAGCGGGAAGACUGUGUCCACGUACCCUCGUAGACCGAAAGCGGAAGCGUUUAGUAACACGGUUGAUGUAGUCAAACGUCUUCGUGAUCCAAUCGAUCCAAGUACCGAACGCACGGCACCUCCGUGAUCUGCACACGUUCAGCUCGCUGACGUCCCUCGAACUCGUGAUCCAAUCGAGGCCGAGGGAGAGUUUCGUCAGCACGACGGCGUGGUGAAGGUGAUGAUGAAGUUACCGGCCUAGGGCUUUGGCUAAGCACUACAAUGAUAUGACCGAGGUGUUGAACUAUGGAGGGGGGCACCGCACACGGCUAAGAGAUUGUCUGUUGUGCCUUUGGGGUGCCCCCUGCCCCCGUAUAUAAAGGAGGGGGAGGAGACAGUAGGAGAGGGAAAGGGGGGUGGCGCCCCCUGCCCUAGUCCAAUUCGGCCUCCUCCGUUGUGGGGGGUGCACCAGCCCCUUGUCGGCUGGUUAGCCUCCCCCUAUGGCCCAUAAGGCCCAUAUCUUUCCCCGGGGGGUUCCGGUAACCUCCCGGUACUCCGGAAAAAUGCCCGAAUCACUCGAAACCAUUCCGAUGUCCGAAUGCAGCCUUCCAAAAUAUGAAUAUUUACCUCUCGACCAUUUCGAGACUCCUCGUCAUGUCCGUGAUCUCAUCCGGGACUCCGAACAAACUUCGGUACAUCAAAUCACAUAACUCAUAAUACAAAUCAUCAUCGAACGUUAAGCGUGCGGACCCUAUGGGUUCGAGAACUAUGUAGACAUGACCGAGACACAUCUCCGGUCAAUAACCAAUAGCGGAACCUGGAUGCUCAUAUUGGCUCCUACAUAUUCUACGAAGAUCUUUAUCGGUCAAACCGCAUAACAACAUACAUUGUUCCCUUUGUCAUCGGUAUGUUACUUGCCCGAGAUUCGAUUGUCGGUAUCAUCAUACCUAGUUCAAUCUCGUUACCGGCAAGUCUCUUUACUCGUUCCGUAAUGCAUCAUCCUGCAACUAACUCAUUAGUCACAUUUCUUGCAAGGCUUAUAGUGAUGUGCAUUACCGAGAGGGCCCAGAGAUACCUCUCCGAUACACGGAGUGACAAGUCCUAAUCUCGAUCUAUGCCAACCCAACAAACACCUUCGGAGACACCUCUAGAGCAUCUUUAUAAUCACCCAGUUACGUUGUGACGUUUGAUAGCACACAAGGUGUUCCUCCGGUAUUCGGGGGUUGCAUAAUCUCAUAGUAUGAGGAACAUGUAUAAGUCAUGAAGAAAGCAGUAGUAAUGAAACUGAAACAAUCAUAAUGCUAAUCUAAUGAAUGGUUCUUGUCCAUCACAUCAUUCUCUAAUGAUGUGAUCCCAUUCAUCAAAUGACAACACAUGUCUAUGGGUUGGAAACUUAACCAUCUUUGAUUAACGAGCUAGUCAAGUAGAGGCAUACUAGGGACACUCUGUUUGUCUAUGUAUUCACACAUGUACUAAGUUUCCGGUUAAUACAAUUCUAGCAUGAAUAAUAAACAUUUAUCAUGAAAUAAGGAAAUAAAUAAUAACUUUAUUAUUGCCUCUAGGGCAUAUUUUUCAGUCUCCCAGUUUCACUAGAGUCAAUAAUCUAGUUCACAUCGCCAUGUGAUUUAACACCAAUAGUUCACAUCACCAUGUGAUUAACACCCAUAGUUCAAAUCGCCAUGUGACCAACCACUCAAAGGGUUUACUAGAGUCAGUAAUCUAGUUCACAUUGCCAUGUGAUUAACACCCAAAGAGUACUAAGGUGUGAUCAUGUUUUCCUUGUGAGAGAAGUUUAGUCAUCGGGUCUGCCAAAUUCAGAUCCGUAUGUAUUUUGCAAAUUUCUAUGUCUACAAUCCUCUGCAUGGAGCUACUUUAGCUAAUUGCUCCCACUUUCAAUAUGUAUCCGGAUUGUGACUUAUAGUCAUCUAGAUCGGUGUCAACGCUUGCAUCGACGUAACUCUUUACGACGAACUCUUUAUCACCUCCAUAACCGAGAAAUAUUUCCUUAGUCCUCUAAGGAUAAUUUUGACCGUUGUCCAGUGAUCUACUCCUAGAUCAAAAUUGUACUUCCUUGCCAAACUCAGGGCAGGGUAUACAAUAGGUCUGGUACACAACAUGGCAUACUUUAUUGAACCUAUGGCUGAGGCAUAGGGAAUGACUUUCAUUCUCUCUAUCUUCUGCCAUGGUCGGGCUUUGAGUCUUACUCAACUUCACACCUUGCAACACAGGCAAGAACUCUUUCUUUGACUGUUCCAUUUUGAACUAAUUCAAAAACUUGUCAAGGCAUGUACUCAUUGAAAAAACUUAUCAAGCGUCUUGAUCUAUCUCUAUAGAUCUUGAUGCUCAAUAUGUAAGCAGCUUCACCGAGGUCUUUCUUUGAAAAACUCCUUUCAAACACUCGUUUAUGCUUUCUAGAAAAUUCUACAUCAUUUCCGGUCGACAAUAUGUCAUUCACAUAUACUUAUCAGAAAGGCUGUAGUGCUCACACUCAUUUCUUGUAAAUACAGGCUUCACCACAAGUCUGUAUAAAACUAUAUGCUUUGAUCAACUUAUCAAAGUGUAUAUUCCAACUCUGAGAUGCUUGCACCAGUCCAUAGAUGGAUCGCUGGAGCUUGCACAUUUUGUUAGCACCUUUAGGAUUGACAAAACCUUCUGGUUGCAUCAUAUACAACUCUUCUUUAAUAAAUCCAUUAAGGAAUGCAGUUUUGUUAUCCAUUUGCCAGAUUUCAUAAAAUGCUGCAAUUGCUAACAUGAUUUAGACAGACUUAACCAUCGCUAGGAGUGAGAAAAUCUCAUCGUAGUCAACACCUUGAACUUGUCGAAAACCUUUCGCGACAAGUCGAGCUUUGUAGAUAGUAACACUACCAUCAGCGUCCGCCUUCCUCUUGAAGAUCCAUUUAUUCUCAAUGGCUUGCCGAUCAUCGGGCAAUUCCACCAAAGUCCAUACUUUGUUUUCAUACAUGGAUCCUAUCUCAGAUUUCAUGGCCUUAAACCAUUUUGCGGAAUCUAGGCUCAUCAUCACUUCCUCAUAUUUCGUAGGUUCGUCAUGGUCUAGUAACAUGACUUCCAAAACCGGAUUACCGUACCACUUUGGUGCGGAACGUACUCUGGUUGAUGAUACGUCUCCAACGUAUCUAUAAUUUUUUAUUGUUCCAUGCUAUAUUAUAUUCUGUUUUGGAUGUUUAAUGGGAUUUAUUAUACACUUUUAUAUUAUUUUUGGGACUAACCUAUUAACUGGAGGCCCAGCCCAAAUUGCUUUUUUGCCUAUUUCAGUGUUUCGAAGGAAAGGAAUAUCAAACAGAGUCCAAACGGAAUGAAACCUUCGGGAACGUGAUUUUCAGAACAAACGUGAUCUAGAGGACUUGGAGUGGAUGUCAAGCAAUCAACGAGGAGGCCACGAGGCAGGGGGCGCGCCUACCCCCCUGGGCGCGCCCUCCACACUCGUGGGCCCCUCGUAGCUCCACCGACCUACUUCUUCCUCCUAUAUAUACCUACGUACCCCCAAACCAUCAUCAGAGGAGCAAAAACCCUAUUUCCACCGCCGCAACCUUCUGUACCUGUGAGAUCCCAUCUUGGGGCCUUUUCCGGCGCUCCGCCGGAGGGGGCAUAGAUCACGGAGGGCUUCUACAUCAACACCAUAGCCUCUCCGAUGAUGUGUGAGUAGUUUACCUCAGACCUUCGGGUCCAUAGUUAUUAGCUAGAUGACUUCUUCUCUCUCUUUGGAUCUCAAUACAAAGUUCUCCUCGAUUCUCUUGGAGAUCUAUUUGGUGUAACUCUACUUUUUGCGGUGUGUUUGUCGAGAUCCCAUGAAUUGUGGGUUUAUGAUCAAGAUUAUCUAUGAACAAUAUUUGAAUCUCCUCUGAAUUCUUUUAUGUAUGAUUGGUUAUCUUUGCAAGUCUCUUUGAAUUAUUAGUUUGGUUUGGCCUACUAGAUUGAUCUUUCUUGCAAUGGGAGAAGUGCUUAGCUUUGGGUUCAAUCUUAUGGUGCUCGAUCCCAGUGACAAUGGGAGGCAUCCACAUAGAGUCAUACUUUGUUCUAAGUUUUGAGUUGUAAAGAAAAUAAAAGUGUGAUGAUCAUCAUUUUUAGAGCAUUGUCCCAAGUGAGGAAAGGAUGAUGGAGACUAUGAUUCCCCCAUAAAUCGGGAUGAGACUCCGGACUAAAAAAAAGAGAAAGGCCAUAAAAAAUUAAAAAAAUCAAAAAUGAGAGAAAAAAGAGAGAAGGGACAAUGCUACUAUCCUUUUACCACACUUGUGCUUCAAAGUAGCACCAUGAUCUUCAUGAUAGAGAAUCUCCUAUGAUAUCACUUUCAUAUACUAGUGGGAAAUUUUCAUUAUAGAACUUGGCUUGUAUAUUCCAAUGAUGGGCUUCCUCAAAAUGCCCUAGGUCUUCGUGAGCUAGCGAGUUGGAUGCACACCCACUUAGUUUCUUUUGUUGAGCUUUCAUAUACUUAUAGCUCUAGUGCAUCCAUUGCAUGGCAAUCCCUACUCACUCACAUUGAUAUCUAUUGAUGGGAAUCUCCAUAGCCCGUUGAUAUGCCUAGUUGAUGUGAGACUAUCUUCUCCUUUUUUUCUCUUCUCCACAACCACCAUUCUAUUCCACAUAUAGUGCUAUGUCCAUGGCUCACGCUCAUGUAUUGCGUGAAGAUUAAAAAGUUUGAGAACACCAAAAGUAUGAAACAAUUGCUUGGCUUGUCAUCGGGGUUGUGCAUGAUUUAAAUAUUUUGUGAGAUGAAGAUAGAGCAUAGCCAGACUAUAUGAUUUUGUAGGGAUAACUUUCUUUGGCCAUGUUAUUUUGAGAAGACAUAAUUGCUUAGUUAGUAUGCUUGAAGUAUUAUUAUUUUUAUGUCAAUAUUAAACUUUUGUCUUGAAUCUUUCGGAUCUGAACAUUCAUACCACAAUUAAGAGAAUUACAUUGAAAAUUAUGCCAAGUAGCAUUCCACAUCAAAAAUUCUGUUUUUAUCAUUUACCUACUCGAGGACGAGUAAGAAUUAAGCUUGGGGAUGCUUGAUACGUCUAUAAUUUUUGAUUGUUCCAUGCUAUAUUAUAUUCUAUUUUGGAUGUUUAAUGGGCUUUAUUAUACACUUUUAUGUUAUUUUUGGAACUAACCUAUUAACCGAAGGCCCAGCCCAAAUUGCUGUUUUUUGCCUAUUUCAGUGUUUCGCAGAAAAAGAAUAUCAAACAGAGUCCAAACGGAAUGAAACCUUCGGGAACGUGAUUUUCGGAACAAACGUGAUCCAGAGGACUUGGAGUCUACGUCAAGCAAUCAAGAUGGAGAGCACGAGGCAGGGGGCGCGCUGCUACCUCUUGAGCACUGCGUUGGUUUUCCCUUGAAGAGGAAAGGAUGAUGCAGCAAAGUAGCGUAAGUAUUUCCCUCAGUUUUUGAGAACCAAGGUAUCAAUCCAGUAGGAGGCUACGCGCGAGUCCCUCGCACCUACACAAACAAAUAAAUCCUAGCAACCAACACGAUAAGGGGUUGUCAAUCCCUACACGGUCACUUACGAGAGUGAGAUCUGAUAGAUGUGAUAGGAUAAUUUUUUUGGUAUUUUUAUAAUAAAGAUGCAAAGUAAAAUAAAAGCAAAGUAAAAAGCAACGGAAAUAACUAAGUGUUGGAAGAUUAAUAUGAUGAAGAUAGACCCGGGGGCCAUAGGUUUCACUAGUGGCUUCUCUCAAGAGCAUAAGUAUUUUACGGUGGGUGAACAAAUUACUGUUGAGCAAUUGACAGAAUUGAGCAUAGUUAUGAGAAUAUCUAGGUAUGAUCAUGUAUAUAGGCAUCACGUCCGAGACAAGUAGACCGACUCCUGCCUGCAUCUACUACUAUUACUCCACACAUCGACCGCUAUGCAACAUGCAUCUAGAGUAUUAAGUUCAUAAGAACAGAGUAACGCCUUAAGCAAGAUGACAUGAUGUAGAGGGAUAAUUCAUGCAAUAUUAUAAAAAACCCAUCUUGUUAUCCUCGAUGGCAACAAUACAAUACGUGCCUUGAUGCCCCUACUGUCACUGGGAAAGGACACCGCAAGAUUGAACCCAAAGGUAAGCACUUCUCCCAUUGCAAGAAAGAUCAAUCUAGUAGGCCAAACCAAACUGAUAAUUCGAAGAGACUUGCAAAGAUAACCAAUCAUACAUAAAAGAAUUCAGAAGAUUCAAAUAUUGUUCAUAGAUAAACUUGAUCAUAAACCCACAAUUCAUCGGUCGCAACAAACACACCGCAAAAGAAGAUUACAUCGAAUAGAUCUCCACGAGAGAGGGGGAGAACAUUGUAUUGAGAUCCAAAAAGAGAGAAGAGGCCAUCUAGCUAAUAACUAUGGACCCGAAGGUCUGAGGUAAACUACUCGCACUUCAUCGGAGAGGCUAUGGUGUGAUGUAGAAGCCCUCCGUAUUCGAUGCCCCCUCCGGCGGAGCUCCGGAACAGGCCCCAAGAUGGGAUCUCGUCGGUACAGAAGGUUGCGGCAGUGGAAUUAGGUUUUUGGCUCCGUAUCUGAUCGUUUGGGGGUACGUAGGUAUAUAUAGGAGGAAGGAGUACGUCGGUGGAGCAACAUGGGGCCCACGAGGGUGGAGGGCGCGCCCAGGGGGUAGGCGCGCCCCCUACCUCGUGGCUUCCUGGAAGCUUCCUUGAUGUAGGGUCCAAGUCUCCUGGAUCAUGUUCGUUCCAAAAAUCAUGUUCCCGAAGGUUUCAUUCCGUUUGGACUCCGUUUGAUAUUCUUUUUCUGCGAAACUCUGAAAUCGGCAAAAACAGCAAUUCUGGGCUGGGCCUCCGGUUAAUAGGUUAGUCCCAAAAAUAAUAUAAAAGUGAAUAAUAAAGCCCAAUAAUGUCCAAAACUAAAGAUAAUAUUGCAUGGAGCAAUCAAAAAUUAUAGAUACGUUGGAGACGUAUCAAGCAUCCCCAAGCUUAAUUCCUGCUCGUCCUCGAGUAGGUAAAUGAUAAAAACAGAAUUUUUGAUGUGGAAUACUACUAGGCAUAAUUUCAAUGUAAUUCUUCUUAAUUGUGGUAUGAAUAUUCAGAUCCGAAAUAUUCAAGCUAAAAGUUCGAUAUCGACAUAAAAAUAAUAAUACUUCAAGCAUACUAACUAAGCAAUUAUGUCCUCUCAAAAUAACAUGGCCAAAGAAAGUUCAUCCCUACAAAAUCAUAUAGUUUAGUCCUGCUCCAUCUUCGUCAUACAAGAAUGCUCUCAUCAUGUACAACCCCGAUGACAAGCCAAGCAAUUGUUUCAUACUUUAGUAAUCUCAAACUUUUUCAACCUUCACGCAAUACAUGAGCGUGAGCCAUGGAUAUAGCACUAUGGGUGGAAUAGAGUAUGAUGAUGGGGGUUAUGUGGAGAAGACAAAAAAAGGAGAAAGUCUCACAUCAACGAGGCUAAUCAAUGAGCUAUGGAGAUGCCCAUCGAUUGAUGUUAAUGCAAGGAGUAGGGACUGCCAUGCAACGGAUGCACUAGAGCUAUAACUAUAUGAAAGCUCAACAAAAGAAACUAAGUGGGUGUGCAUCCAACUUGCUUGCUCACGAAGACCUAGGGCACUUGAGGAGGCCCAUUGUUGGAAUAUACAAGCCAAUUUCUAUAAUGAAAAAUUCCCACUAGUAUAUGAAAGUGACAAAACAGGAGACUCUCUAUCAUGAAGAUUAUGGUGCUACUUUGAAGCACAAGUGUGGUAAAGGAUAGUAACAUUGUCCCUCCUCUCUUUUUCUCUCAUUUUUUUGGGCCUUCUCUUUUUUUAUGGCGUUUCUCUCUCUUUUUUUUAUUCCUCACUUGGGACAAUGCUCUAGAAAAUGAUGAUCAUCACACUUCUAUUAUUUACAACUCAAUGAUUACAACUCGAUACUAGAACAAAGUAUGACUCUAUAUGAAUGCCUCCGGCGGUGUACCGGGAUAUGCAAUGAACCAAGAGUGACAUGUAUGAAAGAAUUAUGAACGGUGGCUUUGCCACAAAUACUAUGUCAACUACAUGCUCAUGCAAAGCAACAUGACAAUGAUGAAGCGUGUCAUAAUAAAUGGAACAGUGGAAAGUUGCAUGGCAAUAUAUCUCGGAAUGGCUAUGGAAAUGCCAUAAUAGGUAGGUAUGGUGGCUGUUUUGAGGAAGAUAUAAGGAGGUUUAUGUGUGAAAGAGCAUAUCAUAUCACGGGGUUUGGAUGCACCGGCGAAGUUUGCACCAACUCUCAAUGUGAGAAAGGGCAAUGCACGGUACCGAAGAGGCUAGUAAUGAUGGAAAGGUGAGAGUGCGUAUAAUCCAUGGACUCAACAUUAGUCAUAAAGAACUCACAUACUUAUUGCAAAAAUCUACAAGUCAUCAAAAACCAAGCACUACGUGCAUGCUCCUAGGGGGAUAGAAUUGUAGGAAAAGACCAUCGCUCGUCCCCGACCGCCACUCAUAAGGAGGACAAUCAAAGAACACCUCAUGUUUCAAAUUUGUUACAUAACGUUUACCAUAUGUGCAUGCUACGGGACUUGCAAACUUCAACAAAAGUAUUUCUCAAAUUCACAAUUACUCAACUAGCACGACUUUAAUAUCACUACCUCCAUGUCUCAAAACAAUCAUCAAGCAUCAAACUUCUCUUAGUAUUCAAAACACUCAUAAGAAAGUUUUUACUAAUCUUGAAUACCUAGCAUAUUAGGUUUAUUUAAGAAAAUUACCAUGCUAUUUAAGACUCUCAAAAUAAUCUAAGUGAAGCAUGAGAGAUCAAUAGUUUCUAUAAAACAAAUCCACCACCGUGCUCUAAAAGAUAUAAGUGAAGUACUAGAGCAAAAACUAUAUAACUCAAAAGAUAUAAGUGAAGCACAUAGAGUAUUCUAAUAAUUUCCGAAUCAUGUGUGUCUCUCUCAAAAGGUGUGUACAGCAAGGAUGAUUGUGGUAAACUAAAAAGCAAAGACUCAAAUCAUACAAGACACUCCAAGCAAAACACAUAUCAUGUGGUGAAUAAAAAUAUAGCUCCAAGUAAAGUUACCAAUGGAAGUAGACGAAAGAGGGGAUGCCUUACGGGGCAUCCCCAAGCUUUGGAUUUUUUGUGUACUUAGAUUAUCUUGGGGGUGCCAUGGGCAUCCCCAAGCUUAGGCUCUUGCCACUCCUUGUUCCAUAAUGCAUCAAAUCUUUCACCCAAAACUUAAAAACUUCACAACACAAAACUUAACAGAAAAUCUCGUCAGCUCCGUUAGCGAAAGAAAACAAAAGACCACUUCAAGGUACUGUAAUGAACUCAUUCUUUAUUUAUAUUGGUAUUAAACCUACUGUAUUCCAACUUCUCUAUGGUUUAUAAACUCUUUUACUAACCAUAGAAUCAUCAAAAUAGGCAAACAACACACGAAAAACAGAAUCUGUCAAAAACAGAACAGUCUGUAGUAAUCUGUAACUAACGCAAACUUCUGGAACUCCAAAAAAUCAGCCAAAAUAGAAAGACCUAGACAAUUUGUUUAUUCAUCAGUAGUAAUUGGAAUCAAUAUUUUAUCACGUUCUGGUGAUUUUAACAAUUGUUUUUGUCAACAGAAAGUUUCUGGAAUUUUCUGCGAGAUCAAAUAACUAUCAUCCAAGAAGAUUCUAUAGGUUUAACUUGGCACAAACACUAAUUAAAACAUAAAAACACAUCUACCAGUGGCUAGAUCAAAUAUUUGUUCCUAAACAGAAGCAAAAAGCAAAAAACUAAAAAAAUAAAAUUGGGUUGCCUCCCAACAAGCGCUAUCGUUUAACGCCCCUAGCUAGGCAUAAAAGCAAGGAUAGAUUUAGGUAUUGCCAUCUUUGGUGGGCAAUCCAUAAGUGGCUCUCAUGAUAGAUUCAUAUGGUAGUUUUAUUUUCUUCCUAGGGAAGUGUUCCAUGCCUUUCUUUAAUGGAAAUUGGAAUCUAAUAUUCUCUUCCUUCAUAUCAAUAAUUGCACCAAUCGUUCUAAGGAAAGGUCUACCAAAAAUAAUAGGACAUGAAGGAUUGCAAUCUAUAUCAAGAACAAUAAAAUCUACGGGCACAUAGUUCCUAUUUGCAACAAUAAGAACAUCAUUAAUUCUUCCAAUAGGUUUCUUAAUAGUGGAAUCCGCAAGGUGCAAGUUUAAAGAGCAAUCAUCAAAAUCACGGAAACCUAGCAAAUCGCACAAAGUUUUUGGAAUCGUGGAAACUCUAGCACCCAAAUCACACAAAGCAUAGCAUUCAUGAUCUUUAAUCUUAAUUUUAAUAGUAGGUUCCCACUCAUCAUAAAGUUUUCUAGGGAUAGAAACUUCCAACUCAAGCUUUUCUUCAUAAGAUUGCAUCAAGGCAUCAACGAUAUGUUUGGUAAAAGCUUUAUUUUGACUAUAAGCAUGAGGAUAAUUUAGCACGGAUUGCAACGAGGAAAUACAAUCUAUCAAAGAGCAAUUAUCAUAAUUAAAUUCCUUGAAAUCCAAAAUAGUGGGUUUAUUAAUAUCUAGGGUUUUGAUUUCUUCAAUCCCACUUAUAUCAAUUUUAGCAUCAAGAUCUAGAAACUCCGAAUUUUUGGAACGCCUUCUAGGAAAAGGUGGAUCAUAUUCAGUCCCAUCAUUAUCAAGAUUCAUAUUGCAAAACAAGGAUUUAAUAGGGGACACAUCAAUAACUUUUAGAUCUUCAUCUUUAUUUUCAUAGAAAUCCGGUUUAGCAGCCAUCUUAUUAACUAAGGUAGCCUGCUUAUCCGAUAUUUCAGCUAUCAACUUUUCAAGACGAGCAAUUUGGGAUCUCAAACCAUCAAAUUCUAUAGACAUAUCAUCGAGCUCUUUAUUCAUAUAACUCAUAAAGCUUUUUUGUUCCUUAAGAUCGUUUCUGAAGAAAUUAUUAUGCUCAAAUUGCAAAACCAUAAAACUCCUGACGUUGCUUUCGAUCUCUUCUAACCUUUUAAGGUCAAGAUCACCAAAUCUAGGUAGAGCCAUCGUGACAAACAAGCAAUCCAACACACGAGCAAACAAGAAGCAAGCGAAAAAGAGGCGAACGGAAAAGAGAGGGCGAAUAAAACGGCAAGGGUGAAGUGGGGGAGAGGAAAACGAGAGGCAAAUGGCAAAUAAUGUAAUGCGGGAGAUAAGGGUUUGUGAUGGGUACUUGGUAUGUUGACUUUUGCGUAGACCUCCCCGGCAACGGCGCCAGAAAUGGCUCGUUGUUGGGAGUCCAAAUCUUUACUUGACCUUGCGUAAGCCUCCCCGGCAACGGCGCCAGAAAUCCUUCUUGCUACCUCUUGAGCACUGCGUUGGUUUUCCCUUGAAGAGCAAAGGGUGAUGCAGCAAAGUAGCGUAAGUAUUUCCCUCAGUUUUUGAGAACCAAGGUAUCAAUCCAGUAGGAGGCUACGCGCGAGUCCCUCGCACCUACACAAACAAAUAAAUCCUCGCAACCAACGCGAUAAGGGGUUGUCAAUCCCUACACGGUCACUUGCGAGAGUGAGAUCUGAUAGAUGUGAUAGGAUAAUAUUUUUGGUAUUUUUAUGAUAAAGAUGCAAAGUAAAAAAGCAACGGAAAUAACUAAGUGUUGGAAGAUUAAUAUGAUGAAGAUAGACCCAGGCGCCAUAGGUUUCACUAGUGGCUUCUCUCAAGAGCAUAAGUAUUUUACGGUGGGUGAACAAAUUACUGUUGAGCAAUUGACAGAAUUGAGCAUAGUUAUGAGAAUAUCUAGGUAUGAUCAUGUGUAUAGGCAUCACGUCCGAGACAAGUAGACCGACUCCUGCCUGCAUCUACUACUAUUACUCCACACAUCGACCGCUAUCCAGCAUGCAUCUAGAGUAUUAAGUUCAUAAGAACAGAGUAACGCCUUAAGCAAGAUGACAUGAUGUAGAGGGAUAAAUUCAUGCAAUAUGAUAAAAACCUCAUCUUGUUAUCCUCGAUGGGAACAAUACAAUAUGUGCCUUGCUGCCCCUACUGUUACUAGGAAAGGACACCGCAAGAUUGAACCCAAAGCUAAGCACUUCUCCCAUUGCAAGAAAGAUCAAUCUAGUAGGCCAAACCAAACUGAUAAUUCGAAGAGACUUGCAAAGAUAACCAAUCAUACAUAAAAGAAUUCAGAAUAUUCAAAUAUUGUUCAUAGAUAAACUUGAUCAUAAACCCACAAUUCAUCGGUCUCAACAUACACACCGCAAAAGAAGAUUACAUCGAAUAGAUCUCCGCGAGAGAGGGGGAGAACAUUGUAUUGAGAUCCAAAAAGAGAAAAGAAGCCAUCUAGCUAAUAACUAUGGACCCGAAGGUCUGAGGUAAACUACUCACACUUCAUCGGAGAGGCUAUGGUGUUGAUGUAGAAGCCCUCCGUGAUCGAUGCCCCCUCCGGCGGACCUCCGAAAUAGGCCCCAAGAUGGGAUCUCGUGGGUACAGAAGGUUGCGGCGGUGGAAUUAGGUUUUUGGCUCCGUAUCUAAUCGUUUGGGGGUACGUAGGUAUAUAUAGGAGGAAGGAGUACGUCGGUGGAGCAACAUGGGGCCCACGAGGGUGGAGGGCGCCCCCAGGGGGGUAGGCGCGCCCCCCUACCUCGUGGCUUCCUGGAAGCUUCCUUGACGUAGGGUCCAAGUCUCCUGGAUCAUGUUCGUUCCAAAAAUCAUGUUCCCGAAGGUUUCAUUCCGUUUGGACUCCGUUUGAUAUUCUUUUUCUGCGAAACUCUGAAAUAGGCAAAAAACAGCAAUUCUGGGCUGGGCCUCCGGUUAAUAGGUUAGUCCCAAAAAUAAUAUAAAAGUGAAUAAUAAAGCCCAAUAAUGUCCAAAACAGAAGAUAAUAUAUCAUGGAGCAAUCAAAAAUUAUGGAUACGUUGGAGACGUAUCACGCGCCUACCCCCCACCCCCAGGCGCGCCCUCCAUCCUCGUGGGUCCCACGUUGCUCCACCGACAUACUUCUUCCUCCUAUAUAUACCUACGUACCCCCAAACCAUCAGAGGCAUCCACGAAAACCUAAUUCCACCGCCGCAACCUUCUGUACCCGUGAGAUCCCAUCUUGGGGCCUUUUCCGGCGUGCUGCCGGAGGGGGCAUUGAUCACGGAGGGCUUCUACAUCAACACCAUAUCCUCUCCGAUGAUGUGUGAGUAGUUUACCUCAGACCUUCGGGUCCAUAGUUAUUAGCUGGAUGGCUUCUUCUCUUUCUUUGGAUCUCAAUACAAAGUUCUCCACGAUUCUCGUGGAGAUCUAUUAGAUGUAAUCUUCUUUUGCGGUGUGUUUGACGGGACCGAUGAAUUGUGGGUUUAUGAUCAAGUUUAUCUAUGAACAAUAUUUGAAUCUUCUCUGAAUUCUCUUAUGUAUGAUUGGUUAUCUUUGCAAGUCUCUUCGAAUUAUCAGUUUGGUUUGUCCUACUAGAUUGAUCUUUCUUGCAAUGGGAGAAUUGCUUAGCUUUGGGUUCAAUCUUGCGGUGUCCUUUCCCAGUGACAGCAGGGGCAGCAAGGCACGUAUUGUAUUGUUGCCAUCGAGGAUAACAAGAUGGGGUUUAUAUCAUAUUGCAUGAGUUUAUGCCUCUACAUCAUGUCAUCUUACUUAAAGCGUUACUCCGUUCUUAUGAACUUAAUACUCUAGAUGCAUGCUGGAUAGCGGUCGAUGUGUGGAGUAAUAGUAGUAGAUGCAGGCAGGAGUCGGUCUACUUGUCACGGACGUGAUGCCUAUAUACAUGAUCAUACCUAGAUAUUCUCAUAACUAUGCUCAAUUCUAUCAAUUGCUCGACAGUAAUUCGUUUACCCACCGUAAUACUUAUGCUAUCUUGAGAGAAGCCACUAGUGAAACCUAUGGCCCCCGGGUCUAUUUUCCAUCAUAUUAAUCUCCUGACAACUAGCUAUUUCUGGCGCCGUUUAUUUUGCUUUCUUUAGUUUUACUCUUUACCAUAAAAACACCAAAAAUAUUAUCUUAUCAUCUCUAUCAGAUCUCACUCUCGUAAGUGAGCGUGAAGGGAUUGACAACCCCUUUAUCACGUUGGUUGCGAGGUUCUUAUUUGUUUGUGUAGGUGCGUGGGACUCGAGCGUGGUCUCCUACUGGAUUGAUAUCUUGGUUCUCAAAAACUGAGGGAAAUACUUACGCUACUUUACUGCAUCACCCUUUCCUCUUCAAGGGAAAACCAACGCAGUGCUCAAGAGGUAGCAAGAAGGAUUUCUGCCGCCGUUGCCGGGGAGUCUACGCACAAGUCAAGACAUACCAAGUACCCAUCACAAACUCUUAUCCCUCGCAUUACAUUAUUUUCCAUUUGCCUCUCGUUUUCCUCUCCCCCACUUCACCCUUGCCGUUUUAUUCACCUUUUCUUCGCCUUCUUCCCGUAUGUCCUUUUGUUUGUGUUUCCAUGUGCCUUCUAUUUGCUUGCAUCUUUACUUGCUAAAAAUCUAUUGAUAUGGAUCCACUUAAAGUGUUCUACUUGGAUCAUCUUCAAUCCUUAUUGCCCUCGUGUUGAAACCCCAACUAGCCUAGUUGAUGGGAAAUCUUUAGAUGAGCAUGCUCAUUUUGUGCUUCACCGUUUGUCUGAAAAAGGGAAACUCUUAUGGGGUCAAAUAAACAGAUUGUUGUGUUAUGCUUGGAAUCUUUGUGAAAUUCAUGAUUUUACUUGUUGCUCUAAGAACCCUAAAAAACACCUUCCCUACCUAUGUGAGUUUAAAGAAAAUGAAAUCUUAUCUUCUUAUGCAAAGGGUGUUUAUAGUUACUAUGAUAUCGAACAAAUUGAAGAAUUUGUUGCUUUUAAGCGUGCUUAUGAAGUAGCUUCUUUGAUUGAAAAGUAUGAUAUUACUCUCUACGAAUCUGAAAUUUUUGACAUACUUAAAUAUUGCUAUGAAAACUAUGCUCAUAAUGUCUAUGUCAAAGAAUUUAUUGAGAGAAUGACCGUUGCUUUGGAAGAAAAUAAUGAUAUGCAUGAAUCUAUGGAUAAUGAUGAUUCCGAUGAUUUGAUUGAAAUAUCCCUUGAUGAACAUGAUGCUUUCUACUCUUGUGGCCAUGAUGCCAAUCUUUAUGAAGAUGAAUUUUCUAUAGUUCCUUAUGUUAAAUAUGAGAUCGUUGCUAUUGCACCCAUACUUGGUAGUUCCUUCGAUGAAAAGCAUGAUUGCAAUGAUGUUAUUAUAAAUUCUCUUAAUGCCAAUUGUGCUAAUAAUAUGCAAAACCCUAAGCUUGGGGAUGAUAGUUUUGCUACAUCUACUACUUGUUGCAAUGAUCAUGAUUGGGGUGAUUCUUCUUAUGAUCUUGAAAAUUUAUUUAAGCCCCAUGAUGAAUAUGAGAUUGAUAUUAGUGUUUGCAAUAGUAUUGAAAGUGGGUUUGGAAGAGUGUCAACUUUAGAUCCCACAUAUUUGGAGAAUGUUCAAUCUUAUGAAUUUUUUUGAUAAAAGUGGGUUUGGAGAGGUCAUGACUUUAGUUAAUGUUAAUCCCACUAUUUUGGAAGAGUGUCAACUUUGCAUGCAUGUGGAUCGUGUUGAAAAUAUUUUAUGUGAUAGCUAUUUUGUUGAAUUUGAUUAUGACCCUACAUGUAAUUAUUAUGAGAAAGGAAAAUAUGGUUGUAGAAAUUUUCAUGUUACAAAAUUACCUCUCGUUAUAUUGAGAUUGCUAUUGUUCCUUUCUUCUUCCAACAAUCGGAGUGACAAAUCCUAAUCUCGAUCUAUGCCAACUGAACAAACAGCAUCGGAGACACCUGUAGAUCAUCUUUAUAAUUCCCAGUUACGUUGUGACGUUUGAUAGAACACAAAGUGUUCCUCCGGUAUUCGGGAGUUGCAUAAUCUCAUAGUCAUAGGAACAUGUAUAAGUCAUGAAGAAAGCAAUAGCAAUAAACUAAACGAUCAUAGUGCUAAGCUAACGGAUGGGUCUAGUCCAUCACAUCAUUCUCUAAUGAUGUGAUCCCGUUCAUCAAAUGACAACACAUGUCUAUGGUUAGGAAACUUAACCAUCUUUGAUUAACGAGCUAGUCUGGUAGAGGCAUACUAGGGACACUCUAUUUGUCUAUGUAUUCACACAUGUACUAAGUUUCCGGUUAAUACUAUUCUAGCAUGAAUAAUAAACAUUUAUCAUGAUAUAAGGAAAUAUAAAUAACAACUUUAUUAUUGCCUCUAGGGCAUAUUUCCUUCAACAGUAACUGAUCGACCUGUCGUGGGGUGAGCCGUUUCGAUUAAGUUGUCAGGCUAAGUGGAACUGUUCACACCGAGAUGGCUGGCCUUAGGGGCUAAGUUAUCCGAUCUCUUCGGACAAAGGGUACAAGUUCGGUUGAGCCUCGGCCGACAUCGCUCCUUUGAAGGAGUGAUCCAAGGAUUGUAAGGUGGAACUCGUCUGUCGAGCCAAGGACUCCGGAUCCCAGGUUGUUGUUGUCAGGAAGGUCGUCCUCGGCAUAUAAGACCAGUUCGGGGGCUACUGACGGUGUCCUGGAUAAGGGGUUACUAACCUAGUCGGCCCAUGCUCCUCGGGCUGGGCCGAUGGGCCCUCGCUUGUACUCAAGAUGGACUCCGGAGGCCGUACGUAGGAGGCGUGAUCAAGACUACCUCCACCGAAGACUUGAUGUAUGCUCCAAGAUCUCUCAUGCCGCCUUGCUCCUAGAUACCGACCUUGUAACCCUAGAUGCCAUCCUUGGCGUAUAUAUAAGCCAUAGGGUUUAGCCCGUAAAGGGGAGAUCAACGCAAUAUCAUUCACCUAACCGUAGAGUUAGUCCACAUAUUACAAUCUCAAGGUAGAUCGACUCUGUACUCGAUAUAUCUUCAUCAGUAUAAACAAGAGUAAAACGUACGGUUUUACCUCCAUAGAGAGGGCCCAAACCUGGGUAAACAUCGUCUCCUUCGUUCCUAUCACCCUUGAUCCGAGAUCCAUAGCUCGGGACCCCCUACCUCGAGGUCUGCCGGUUUUGACACCGAAAAUCAGUUUCAUAUUUCUUGCUUUCUCGAGGUCAUGAUAAAUGAAGAGAAUCGUAUCGUCGGCAUACUGAAGUAUAGAGAUACCAUCAUCAACUAGAUGAUUUACUACCCCAUUAAUUUGGCCCAACCCUGGCAUGCCCAAUCAUGACCGCUAGCAUAUCCACCACUAUAUUGAAUAGCAUCGGCGAUAACGAUGUUGGAAAUAUGCCCUAGAGGCAAUAAUAAAUGGUUAUUAUUAUAUUUCCUUGUUCAUGAUAAUUGUCUAUUGUUCAUGCUAUAAUUGUGUUAUCCGAAAAUCGUAAUACAUGUGUGAAUACAUAGACCACAACAUGUCCCUAGUAAGCCUCUAGUUGACUAGCUCGUUGAUCAACAGAUAGUCAUGGUUUCCUGACUAUGGAGAUUGGAUGUCAUUGAUAACGAGAUCACAUCAUUAGGAGAAUGAUGUGAUGGACAAGACCCAAUCCUAAGCAUAGCACAAAAGAUCAUGUAGUUCGUUUGCUAGAGCUUUUCCAAUGUCAAGUAUCAUUUCGUUAGACCAUGAGAUCGUGUAACUCCCGGAUGCCGUAGGAGUGCUUUGGGUGUACCAAACGUCACAACGUAACUGGGUGACUAUAAAGGUACACUACGGGUAUCUCUGAAAGUGUCUGUUGGGUUGACACGGAUCGAGACUGGGAUUUGUCACUCCGUAUGACGGAGAGGUAUCUCUGGGCCCACUCGGUAAUGCAUCAUCAUAAUGAGCUCAAUGUGACUAAGGAGUUAGCCUCGGGAUCAUGCAUUACGGUACGAGUAAAGAGACUUGCCGGUAACGAGAUUGAACAAGGUAUUGGGAUACCGACGAUCGAAUCUCGGGCAAGUAACGUACCGAUUGACAAAGGGAAUUGUAUACGGGAUUGAUUGAAUCCUCGACAUCGUGGUUCAUCCGAUGAGAUCAUCGUGGAACAUGUGGGAGCCAACAUCGGUAUCCAGAUCCCGCUGUUGGUUAUUGACCGGAGAGGCGUCUCAGUCAUGUCUGCAUGUCUCCCGAACCCGUAGGGUCUACACACUUAAGGUUCGGUGACGCUAGGGUUGUAGAGAUAUUAGUAUGCGGAAACCCGAAAGUUGUUCGGAGUCCCGGAUGAGAUCCCGGACGUCACGAGGAGUUCCGGAAUGGUCCGGAGGUGAAGAAUUAUAUAUAGGAAGUCCAGUUUCGGCCACCGGGAAAGUUUCGGGGGUUAUCGGUAUUGUACCGGGACCACCGGAAGGGUCCCGGGGGUCCACCGGGUGGGGCCACCUAUCCCGGAGGGCCCCAUGGGCCGAAGUGGGAAGGGAACCAGCCCUUAGUGGGCUGGGGCGCCCCCCCUUGGGCCUCCCCCUGCGCCUAGGGUUGGAAACCCUAGGGGUGGGGGGCGCCCCACUUGCCUUGGGGGGCAAGCCACCCCCUUGGCCGCCGCCUCCCCUCAGAUGGGAUCUCCAGGGUGGCCGGCGCCCCCCCCAGGACCCCUAUAAAUAGUGGGGGAGAGGGAGGGCAGCAACAACACAGCCCCUAGCGCCUCCCUCUCCCCCUGCGCAACACCUCUCCCUCCCGCUUGUGCUUGGCGAAGCCCUGCCGGGAUCCCCGCUACUUCCACCACCACGCCGUCGUGCUGCUGGAUCUCCAUCAACCUCUCCUUCCCCCUUGCUGGAUCAAGAAGGAGGAGACGUCGCUGCUCCGUACGUGUGUUGAACGCGGAGGUGUCGUCCGUUCGGCACUCCACUAGUAGGAAAAGGGGCUUUUACCCCGGUUCAUAAGGGCCUUUAGUCCCGGUUCUUACACGAACCGGGACUAAAGGCCGUCCACGUGGCCGGUGCGGGGAGCCCAGGCAGCAGGGCCUUUGGUCCCGGUUGGUGCCACCAACCGUUAGCAAUAGGCAUCCAUGCGUCAGCACCUGGCAGGAGUUGAGGUUUUUGUUUUUUUUUGAAAGGGGUUGGAUUAGGGGUUUUGGGGGUUAAUUUAGGUGUUUCAUAUAUUGUGUUAGCUAGCUAAUUAAUAGAGAGAAGUGUCCUCUCUUAUCUCCGUGCUUGGUCAAUGCUACGUACUAUAUACGUAUGGAGAGGAGUAGACACGCUAGCUAGUAAUCAAAUGAAGGAAACAAAAGAUCGUCAUGAACAUAUGCAUACAGAGAGAAGUGAUAUCGACCACCUCUCCUUCUCCGAGAUAUUGGUCGAACAACAAGUUCUCGUAUAUCUAUCCGACACUACCGGCUACAUAUAUACAAUAAUUAUCUCUUACAAUACAAUCUCCUAAUUAUAUUGUAGGAACACAGGGUCCACAUAGUAUUCUCCGUUUUCAGCGAUCACGUGGUCAAGGAAGAAUGCCGCCAAUUCCUCUUGAAUUGCUCGCAUACGAUGUUCUGCUAGGAGUUCAUCCCGCAUCCGAAAGAUCUAAUUUGAAGAAGGGGGUCAAUACAUAUAUAUAUAUAUAUAUAUAUAUAUGAAUAAAUGAAACUCAACACAAAUGAUGGUAAUAAAAUAAAAUUGUGAAUAUUAUUGCUUACGCACUUCAUAUUGUUCUUCAGUGUAGCCCCGCUCACAGGUCGUGUGGUGGAUGGACUCGCAAACGUAGUAUCCACAGUAAUUAUUCCCGGGUUCCUGCCACAACCACUUUACAAGAAAUAGAGGUCAAUCAAACUGAUAAGCAAGCAUGCUAAAUGGUAUUGAUGAAACUAGCGCUUGAAUCACUAGGAGAUGCGCGGAACAUGCUACUAUGGUACUUACUUUCAGGUGUCUAAAUUGCAGCUUCUUCGGGAGUCCCGGAGCUUUUGAGGUGAAUUUUCUCCAAACCCUGCGAGACAAAGAAAACAAUUACUUGAUAUCAGGAAAUGAACAAAGUUGCUGAUAUGGUGGAUAAUGAUCGAUUUAACUUACUUCUGGAGCAUUUGAGUCAUGUUCGCAUAGUCCUGGGGAUCUUUUCGUCUCGAGUCUAAGACGGUUACUACUCCCGGCUCAAGCUUAAUCUCUAGGAGAAUAUAGUGGAAGCUACGCAUGCAUGCAUAAGUCAUCAAUUACAUUACCAUAACCUGGACUAAUAAGGGAAACCGAAUAUGCACAAGACAGUAACACUCACUUGAAGUUGUAAGGAAAGAGUAUUAUAUCUUUGUUUUGAUUUAAUACCAACGAUUGUAGCAAGUUGGCCUCGGCUUCUUUGGGAUUUUUUUCAACCGUAUAUGCAUCUAUGAGAUUUGUGUUAAUGAACCCAAUAUCACCGAUUUGUCUUUUCUUCAAUUCGGCGAUCUUCAAUCUGCAUAAUAUAGUGAGGAUAAGUAUAAAUACAUGCAAUGAAAGAGCUGACCUAUAUAGAGAGACUUAAUGACAGAAGUAGUACUACUUACACACAGUAGCAAGUGAUCGUUGUUUUAUCGAGGGACUUUUGAUUGUAAAACUGUAAGAAAUCCUCAAAUGGAACAUUCAGCAGUUCAAUUCCAACGAGGUCAUGCUCCGGUUUAACUCUCAGCGUCAAAGUACUCAUCCCAUCAGACUCUCUGCAGGUUUUCAUGUACCAAUCAUGUAGUCUUCGCAUCAUCGUGCUUAGAUAUCUGACAUCUUUGACGAGAGGCUUCCCGUAAUGGUAUUUGUGGUCGUCCACCUCCAUGAUUUCAUAAUGUACAUCGUCGGGUAGGUAAUCUCCAAGAUUGCUAUAACCGGGCACCAUACCCGGAUCAUUAGCGACGAUGUCUUUUGACACCUUGAGCAGGGGGCACGAUUGGUUCGCUUGUUCGCCGAGCUGGGCAAUUUUUUUCCCAGCUCGUCGUUCUUUCAUCCUUUUAUCACUGACAGUACUUCCCGACCGCUCCGCUUCGGCAUAUGGCUUUGCAAGAACGCACUCAUAGUUUCCUCUCGGCGGAGACUUUGGUGGUUUUGUCAGGGCAGCCAGAGUGCACUUUGCUUUCACCGGAUCUACCUUCUCCUCCGGAGGUGGAUGUUUCUUUGCUUUCACCCCUUCAAAGAAGUUCUUCACUUCGGCUCGCACGAUCUUCGCGUUCUCCUCCUCGGUCCUCUCAUAUGGUAACUUCUCUGGAGUCUUCAGAGAAGGAACGAAUCUGUAUUGCCUCCCGCCUCUGGCAGCUGUACUGCUAGACGCCGGCAGAGCAGACGGAGCGGCUGCGGCUGUCUUCUUUCCUUGCUUACGAGGCGGAGGAGAAGGACUACGACGCGCCGGAGCAGCCGCAGCGGGUCUCUUCCGCCCUUGCUGACGAGGCGGAGAAGGAGGAGGCUGGCUGCUCUUGCGCGCCGGCGCUAGCGGAGAAAGAGGCGGAGUGCCGCCACGCGCCGGAGAAGGAGGCUGAGUGCCCUGAUCACUCGCCGGAGGAGGAGGCGGAGGAGGAGGCGGAGUGCCCUUACUCGCCGAAGCCGUCCAGUUCGGAAGCUUGAUGAGCUCCUUCCGCCAUAGGCAUGGAGUCUUCAGAGCUAAACCCAGCCGAGUCUCCCCUUCACCGGUAGGGUGGUCAAGCUGGAGGUCCUCAAAUCCCUCCGUUAUUUCAUCCACCAUCACCCUAACAUAUCCUUCUGGAAUCGGCCGGCAGUGGUAGGUUGCGUCGGGUUCAGUAGGUAAAACAGAGCCAACAGCCACCUUGACUUUCAAGUUCUGCCAUUCCGCCAUAAGGUGGCAAUGUUGAGACUCCGUGAUAGCAUCCACGGGGUAGCUAGCAGGAGCCGCAUGCUCCAGCUGAGGCAGCUCGGUGGAAGCCAUGCUGCUUCUAUGCUGAGAUGGCGGUGUAGCUUCGGGGGCAGUUUCGGCAUCUCGAUUGCCGUCUCGUUCCUCUAGCACUUGAACCCUUUCGUGCAGACGCUGAAUUUGGAUCUGCUCCACUUUUUUCCUCCUCUCCUGGGUUUUGUAACCACCCACGUCCGAAAAACCAGCCUUCCACGGAACGGAGCCUGGCGUGCCUCGUGUUCGUCCAGGGUGCUCAGGAUUCCCGAGGGCCAUUGUGAGCUCGUCGUUCUCUCUGUCUGGAACGAACGUCCCUUGCUGCGCUGCAUCGAUAUAGUGCUUAAGCUUAUUGACGGGUAUUGCAAGUUGCUCGUCCGUCCAACGACACCUCCCUGAUACAGGGUCCAAGGUUCCGCCAGCCCCGAAGAACCAAGUCCGGCAACGGUCUGGCCAGUUCAUUGUCUCUGGUUCGAUCCCUUUAUCAAGCAGAUCCCUCUCAGACUUGGCCCACUUAGGCCAGGCUUUGAGGUAGCCACCUGACCCCGUGCGAUGGUGAAGCUCCUUCUUCGCAGCAUUCUUCUUGUUUGUCGCUGACAUCUUCUUACUCCUUUUCGAUGUCUUGUGGGCCACAAAUGCGGGCCAGUGAUCUCUGAUCUUCUCAUACCGGCCGAUGAAUUCUGGUGUCUCUUCUUUGCGACAAACGUUUUCAGCUCAUUCUUCCACCUCCUAAAUAAGUCUGCCAUCUUCUUAAGAGCAUGAGACUUGAUUAAUUGCUCUACAACUGGCUUCUCCGGAUCCUCCUCUGGCGGUAGGGUGAAAAUUUGCCUUCAGCUCAGUCCAAAGAUCAUCUUUCUGCAUAUCAUUGACAUAAGACACCUCAGGGUCUUCCUUCUUAGGCUUAUACCAUUGGUGGAUCCUGAUCGGGAUCUUGUCCCUAACUAGAACCCCGCACUGAGCAGCAAAAGCAUCCUUUGUCCGGAGGGGUUCAAUCGGUUGGCCGUCGCGCGCGAUUGCUGUGAUCUCAAACCUUUCAUCCGAGCACAACUUUCUCUUCGGGCCUCGUCUCUUUACCGCAGUUGUGCUCGAUCCGGAGGGCUAGAAAAAAGGAGAAAGACGAGUGUUAAUUAAUAUGUGUACAUACCAAAACAAUGAAUGCAUCAAUUAGCUAGUCAGCACAGGCUUAACUAAUAUAUUUACCUGGCCGGACUCUGUUCGGUCACCGGAGCCGUCACCAUGGGCUCCUUCUUGCACCAGCAUUGGGUCACCGGAGCCAUCAUAAUCAUGUCUUUCCUCCUCCACUCUUCGAUCACCGCAGCCUGCUUCUUCACCCUGUUCUUCCAGACCAUCAUUGUCGUUAAGAUACGACAAGAUAUCACCUCCGGCUAAGAUUAUGUCCCCCAACACGUCUUCUGCUUGCUCCUCUCGUCCGUGCUCCAUUGUUUCUGCAAAUAUUACAACAUGGCAAUUAUUACACAAACAUGACAGCAGGUGGAUAUAUUAGUGCAAACGUAGACCUAGCUUAUUCCGGGUUUGGGGUGGCCUAGGCAACGCUUCAAGGGUAGGGGCGCGGCGGGAGGGGGUAGGAGACCGACAUCGUUUUUUCUAGGGUUUGGGUGUCCUCGAGAGUUUUGGUCGAGCGAGAGGGCCGGGGGGGUGCUCCCGUGGUAUAAGUUAUCACGGUCGAGAGGGGGUAUACAUAUCGACCGUCCAUCAUGUCGAAGUUAUCUGGGAGGGAGUUAUAUAUAUCGACAACGACGACAUACUUACAUGGGAAAGUAAUGUUAUCGGGGAGGGGGUAUAUAUCGAACCCUCCCACGUGUUGAAGUUAUCGGGAGGGGGUUUUAUAUCGACAACGACGACAUACAUACACGGGAAAAUAAUGUUAUCGAGGAGGGGGUAUAUCGACCCCCCCCCUCGUGUUGAAGUUAUCCCCCCUCGUGUUGAAGUUAUCGGGAGGGGUAUAUAUCGACGACGACAGACCCGAUAAAACAUAAGAAAACGAAGAAGAAAUAAAAAGAGGAGAGAAGUAGAAAUGAAUAGAGGAGAGGAUUGAAGAAAAAAAAGAAGAAAAAAAAAGAGGAAAGAAAAUUUUCUAUUUUUUCUUCUUCUCCUCUAUUCCUUUCUUCUUCUCCUCUUCUUUUUCUUCUUUUUUCCUCUUCUUAUUUAUUUCUCCUCUUCUUCCUCUCCUCUUCUUCUUCCCUUCCUAGCUAGAUAUAUAAAACUUUUCUAAAAUUGUAACUUUUGCAUAUAUAGAACUUUUCCAUGUGGAUCAUCAUUUCUCAUAUAUAUCGAAUAUAUAUCCAUUGUCAUAUAUAAAAACUUUCUAUAUAUGAACAAAAAAACAUUUUUGACAUAUAUAUUCAUACAUUUUGAACAUCUACAUACAUACAAAAAAAUUUUGUUCACAUAUACAUUAUAGCCACAUACACAUAUACAUCACAUAUGAACAAAAAAAUUAAACUAAUAAAAAUAAAAAAACAGAGCCGGGGCGGCGGCUCUCACAGCGGGGGCAGCUAGGACGAUGGCGACGGCGGGGGCGGCGAGGGCGCNNNNNNNNNNNNNNNNNNNNNNNNNNNNNNNNNNNNNNNNNNNNNNNNNNNNNNNNNNNNNNNNNNNNNNNNNNNNNNNNNNNNNNNNNNNNNNNNNNNNNNNNNNNNNNNNNNNNNNNNNNNNNNNNNNNNNNNNNNNNNNNNNNNNNNNNNNNNNNNNNNNNNNNNNNNNNNNNNNNNNNNNNNNNNNNNNNNNNNNNNNNNNNNNNNNNNNNNNNNNNNNNNNNNNNNNNNNNNNNNNNNNNNNNNNNNNNNNNNNNNNNNNNNNNNNNNNNNNNNNNNNNNNNNNNNNNNNNNNNNNNNNNNNNNNNNNNNNCGGUUGGUGCCACCAACCGGGACCAAAGGCCUUGCGCUGCCCGCGGCCAAAAGUUUAGUCCCACCUCGCUAGUUGAGAGGGGCUCGGAGUGGUUUAUAAGCCCCACUGCGGCUGCCCUCUCGAGCUCCUCUCAAAUGCAUGCUUACGGGCCUAAUGUCACACUGUGCUGUCUGUUGGCCUAUUGGGCCUUCUGCGGGCCUGAAUCCUGGCCCAAGUUGGGUUUCUAGCCGUAUUCAGGCCGUGGUGGCCCAAUAGGUGGCAGUUUUUUAAAAAAAAUUCCAGUUUUUUGGUUCUGUUUUUUGCAUUAUUUAUUUUCUUUUGUUUCUUGCUUUAUUUUUGAAUUCCUUUUGCUUUUAGGUCAGCAAAAUUAUAAACUGUCUGUUAUUGCCAUUAGUUUUAGAAAACAUAUAAACUUUCUAUUAGUGCCAUUAGUUCUUUAUGAAAAUUCUUUUUGCUGUAUUUAGUUUUUUUGUUUUCUGUUUUGCUAUAUUUAUUUUGUUUUGUUUCUACUUACAACAAAAAACUUAUUUAUUUUAUUUUAUUUUGUUUCUAAUUAGUUAUUUAUUUUACUUUAUGAUAAUUCUUUCUGCUAUUAAAGUUUCUAUCAAAAAAAGUUCUUUAUGAAAAUUCUUUUUGCUUUUAAUGAUUAAAAAUAAAAAAGAGGCGCAAUGCGCGUUGAUUUGCUUCAAGUCUUUCGGAAUAGUGUAGACUGCACUGCACAUAGCUCGAUGCAGUCUACCUUAUUCCUCAAGGCUUGAAGCUAAGCAGCGUGAGCAUUGCGCCUCUUCUUCAUCGUCUCUGCACUCAGGGCUUAUAAACCGCUCCUAGUGCCUCUCAGCUAGCGAGGUGGGACUAAAAAACUGCUUAGCUAGUAAGAAACUCUAGUACCGGUUCGUGCCACGAACAGGUACUUAAGGUGCUCGUGGGGCCACAGCCUCAUUAGUACCGGUUCGUGGCACAAACAGGGACCAAAGGGUGGAAUUGGUCCCGGUUCGUGCCACCAACCGGGACCAAUGGCCUUGCACAGCGGCGUGGUGGUGUGUUUAGUCCCACCUCGCUAGCUAAGAGAGAGCCGCACCUGUUUAUAAGGAAGACCAAAAGGUCGAGCAUGAGUCGUAUAGAAGAUACGAUCAACAUGGAGAUGUUCACCGAUCUUGACUAGUCCGUCUCACGUGAUGAUCGGACACGGCCUAGUUAACUCGGAUCAUGUUUCACUUAGAUGACUAGAGGGAUGUCUAUCUGAGUGGGAGUUCAUUGAAUAAUUUGAUUAGAUGAACUUAAUUAUCAUGAACUUAGUCUAAAAUCUUUACAAUAUGUCUUGUAGAUCAAAUGGCCCACGUUGCCCUCAACUUCAACGCGUUCCUAGAGAAAACCAAGCUGAAAGAUGAUGGCAGCAACUAUACGGACUGGGUCCGGAACCCGAGGAUCAUCCUCAUAGCUGCCAAGAAAGAUUAUGUCCUAGAAGCACCGCUAGGUGAAGCACCAAUCCCAGAGAACCAAGACGUUAUGAACGCUUGGCAAUCACGUGCUGAUGAUUACUCCCUCGUUCAGUGCGGCAUGCUUUACAGCUUAGAACCGGGUCUCCAAAAGCGUUUUGAGAAACAUGGAGCAUAUGAGAUGUUCGAAGAGCUGAAAAUGGUUUUCCAAGCUCAUGCCCGGGUCGAGAGAUAUGAAGUCCCCGACAAGUUCUUCAGCUAUAAAAUGGAGGAAAAUAGUUCUGUUAGUGAGCACAUACUCAGAAUGUCUGGGUUACACAACCGCUUGUCUCAGCUGGGAGUUAAUCUCCCGGAUGACGCGGUCAUUGAAAGAAUCCUUCAGUCGCUUCCACCGAGCUACACGAGCUUUGUGAUGAACUUCAAUAUGCAGGGGAUGGAAAAGACCAUUCCUGAGGUAUAUUCAAUGCUGAAAUCAGCGGAGGUGGAGAUCAAAAAGGAACAUCAAGUGUUGAUGGUGAAUAAAACCACUAAGUUCAAGAAAGGCAAGGGUAAGAAGAACUUCAAGAAGGACGGCAAGGGAGUUGCCGCGCCCGGUAAGCCAGUUGCCGGGAAGAAGUCAAAGAAUGGACCCAAGCCUGAGACUGAGUGCUUUUAUCGCAAGGGAAGUGGUCACUGGAAGCGGAACUGCCCCAAAUACUUAGCGGACAAGAAGGCCGGCAACACCAAAGGUAUAUGUGAUAUACAUGUAAUUGAUGUGUACCUUACAAGUACUCGUAGUAGCUCCUGGGUAUUUGAUACCGGUGCGGUUGCUCAUAUUUGUAACUCAAAACAGGAACUGUGGAAUAAGCGGAGACUGGCAAAGGACGAGGUGACGAUGCGCGUCGGGAAUGGUUCCAAGGUUGAUGUGAUCGCCGUCGGCACGCUACCUCUGCAUUUACCUACGGGAUUAGUUUUAAACCUCAAUAAUUGUUAUUUAGUGCCAGCUUUGAGCAUGAACAUUGUAUCUGGAUCUCGUUUAAUUCGAGAUGGCUACUCAUUUAAAUCCGAGAAUAAUGGUUGUUCUAUUUAUAUGAGAGAUAUGUUUUGUGGUCAUGCUCCGCUGGUCAAUGGUUUAUUCUUGAUGAAUCUCGAACGUGAUGUUACACAUAUUCAUAGUGUGAAUACCAAAAGAUGUAAAGUUGAUAACGAUAGUCCCACAUACUUGUGGCACUGCCGCCUUGGUCACAUUGGUGUCAAACGCAUGAAGAAACUCCAUGCAGAUGGACUUUUGGAGUCUCUUGAUUACGAAUCAUUUGACACGUGCGAACCAUGCCUCAUGGGUAAGAUGACCAAGACUCCGUUCUCCGGAACAAUGGAGCGAGCAAUCAACUUAUAGGAAAUCAUACAUACCGAUGUGUGCGGUCCAAUGAGUGUUGAGGCUCGCGGAGGAUAUCGUUAUGUUCUCACUCUCACUGAUGACUUAAGUAGAUAUGGGUAUGUCUACCUAAUGAAACACAAGUCUGAAACCUUUGAAAAGUUCAAGGAAUUUUAGAGUGAGGUUGAGAAUCAACGUGACAGGAAAAUAAAAUUCUUAUGAUCAGAUCGUGGUGGAGAAUAUUUAAGUCACGAAUUUGGUACGCGCUUAAGGAAAUGUGGAAUCGUUUCACAACUCACGCCGCCUGGAACACCUCGGCGAAAUGGUGUGUCCGAACGUCGUAGUCGCACUCUAUUGGAUAUGGUGCGAUCUAUGAUGUCUCUUACCGAUCUGCCGCUCUCAUUUUGGGGCUAUGCUUUAGAGACUGCCGCAUUCACUUUAAAUAGGGCUCCGUCGAAAUCCGUUGAGACGACACCGUAUGAAUUAUGGUUUGGGAAGAAACCUAAGCUGUCGUUUCUAAAAGUUUGGGGAUGCGAUGCUUAUGUCAAGAAACUUCAACCUGAAAAACUCGAACCCAAGUCGGAAAAAUGCGUCUUCAUAGGAUACCCCAAGGAAACUGUUGGGUAUACCUUCUACCUCAGAUCCGAAGGCAAGAUCUUUGUUGCCAAGAACGGGUCCUUUCUGGAGAAAGAGUUUCUCUCGAAAGAAUUGAGUGGGAGGAAAGUGGAACUUGAUGAGGUGAUAGCCUCCACCGACUGGGGAGGAAAUUAAUGAUGAUGAUCAUGAAGCUUCGGAUCAAGUUACUGCUGAACUUCGUAGGUCCACAAGGACACGUUCCGCACCAGAGUGAUAUAGCAACCCUGUCCUGGAAAUCAUGUUGUUAGACAACGGUGAACCUUCAAACUAUGAAGAAGCGAUGGCGGGCCCGGAUUCCAACAAUUGGCUUGAAGCCAUGAAAUCCGAGAUAGGAUCCAUGUAUGAAAACGAAGUAUGGACUUUGACUGACUUGCCUGAUGAUCGGCGAGCCAUAGAAAAUAAAUGGAUCUUUAAGAAGAAGACAGACGCGGAUGGUAAUGUGACCAUCUAUAAGGCUCGACUUGUCGCUAAGGGUUAUCGACAAGUUCAAGGGGUUGACUACGAUGAGACUUUCUCACCCGUAGCGAAGCUGAAGUCCGUCCGAAUCAUGUUAGCAAUUGCCGCAUACUAUGAUUAUGAGAUAUGGAAGAUGGACGUCAAAACGGCAUUCCUUAAUAGCUUUCUUAAGGAAGAAUUGUAUAUGAUGCAGCCGGAAGGUUUUGUCGAUCCUAAGAAUGCUAACAAGGUAUGCAAGCUCCAGCGCUCCAUCUAUGGGCUGGUGCAAGCAUCUCGGAGUUGGAACAUUCGUUUUGAUGAGAUGAUCAAAGCGUUUGGGUUUACACAGACUUAUGGAGAAGCCUGUGUUUACAAGAAAGUGAGUGGGAGCUCUGUAGCAUUUCUCUUAUUAUAUGUGGAUGACAUACUAUUGAUGGGAAAUGAUAUAGAAUUCUUGGAAAGUAUAAAGGCCUAUUUGAAUAAGUGUUUUUCAAUGAAGGACCUUGGAGAAGCUGCUUAUAUAUUAGGCAUCAAGAUCUAUAGAGAUAGAUCAAGACGCCUCAUUGGUCUUUCACAGAGUACGUACCUUGACAAGAUAUUGAAGAAGUUCAAUAUGGAUCAGUCCAAGAAGGGGUUCUUGCCUGUAUUGCAAGGUGUGCAAUUGAGCACGACUCAAUGCCCGACCACAGCAGAAGAUAGAGAAAAGAUGAGUGUCAUCCCCUAUGCCUCGGCCAUAUGUGACACCCAAAUUUUUAUUUGGAUUUUUCAAAAGAUUUUAUUUGACUUGAGGGAGGUGAUUUAAAAAUUUUCUUCAAAAGAACUAUCCCAUUCAAAUAUUUUUUUCUUCUUUAUGGCAAAGGUUUUAUUUGGAUUCAUCCAAGAUCUGUCUUUGGUCUUGGAGGUUCUUGCUUUUUAUUUGGACUCAAGACAAAAUGUUUUUCAUUUGGGGAAAAUGACUUUUGAAAAUAUUUUUGAAAAUGCACUAUGGCUUUUGGAAUAAUCCUUUGCCACUUUCAACAUUUCUCUCUUGCCAUGGCCUUAGUGCAAAUCCACUCUCCUAACCCUCCCCUCAUCUUUGGAUCAUGUUUUGCAUCAAAUCCAGCAAGUUGAACCUCCCCCUAUGAUUAUUUUCCAUUUAAAUUUCAUCAAAUAAAUUUCUGUCUUCUACCCUAGCCCUUGGAGAUUUACAAAGGAGCUACCAUCUCUGCUUUGAUUUUUGGCCCCAAACCAAUUCCCCUUCCUAGUCCUUUGAACCCUCAACCAAGAUCCAUGAAGAUCCACUCGUCUUUAGUUCAAAUUUUUCAAACUACACUUGCUGCAAGUUUGGACCAGAUUUGUCAAAUUUGGUGAAAUUCAUUCAAAUCCCUCUCAAAAAAUUCUGAGUAAAAUCAGGCAGCCUCUGGGUGCAUUGAGUGGUCACCUCACCAAGUACCAGCUCCAAAAAAAAUUCUGCUUGCCAAAUCAUUCUGUCGAACACCUGCAGUGCAUUGUCAAUAUCAGGUUCAGUAAAGUUCAGAGAACAUUUCAGUGCGCUGUCGUUUUCUUCAGAGCCCGACGUCGAUCUCGCCAGUGCCACUGUGUCGCCGUGUUCCCUGUCCCCUCCCCCUUGUCCUCUGCACCGCACGAGCAUCUGGCAUCUUGCGGACGUCGGCGAAAAGCCGCCGCUGGCGUCGGUCACGAGGCCGCGCUGACGGCGCCACCCAGCGCCGCCCAAGCCACCGGAGCUCGCCGCGUGGCCUUCCACUCCCCAGAACGCGCUGCCACUCUCGUCGUGAACCGCAGGGCGCGGAGCGCGCUCUCUGCCGCCGACGUGCCCGUGCGGCCACUCCACCGUGGACCGGCGCCAUAACGCCAAGACCAACCGAGAUUUGCGGGGGAACGGCACCAGUAACCUCCACUGAUGCUGCCUGGCCACUCAAACCUCCUGCCAAUCCACUGCAUCGCCGUAAUUGCUCGCCGGAGAUUCUCCGUUCACGGCCACCCCGUCGAUCCGCCUAUAAAUAGAGGCCCCGAGCUUCAACUCGAACCCACACCAUCCCUGCACUCCACCUAGAGCACGCCUAGCCACUGGAAGAGCCCCGAGGAGGUCUCCUUCCUCGACUCCGGCCGCCGCGACCCGCCACGGGAUCCAGCUCGAUUCGCCCCCGUGCGUGCGCCUCUGCCUCCCAUCUCUUGCCAGUAGCUUCACUAUGCAUCCCUCCUUCUGACCCGCGCUUCAAUUCGAAGUUUGCAGCCCUCCACCGGAGUUCUCCACCAUCACCCGAGCCGCCGUCCGCCGGAGAAAGUGUCGCCGUCGACGUGGUGCUCCCCGUUAGUCGAGUCCACCACCCACCGACGCGGAAGAACACGCUGAAGCUCUUGGUACCCUCCGAUCUUCCUGACUCGCCGUGGUUCGACGCCGGCGUCCACCGCAGUCUUCGGGCGCCGGCGAGCUUUUUGAACCUGACAUGUGGACCCCCCAUGUCAGCCUCUGUUCUAAUCUCCCUCGACCCGUUUUCUGUUGGCGCCUUCGGGCAAAAUACGCUUUCCCUCUUUAGCUAGCGCAUUUCUUUCCGAAGCGUUUUCUGGUUUCUCAGUUUAAACCCUGGAACUUUUCUGUUUCAUUACAGAUAGGUCCCUGGACAGAAACCUUUAUAACUUUUUAAUAAAAAGGAAUUUUUGAGUGAUUCUUUUUCUGACCUUCUUAAAAUUUUGUCUAGUUUUUUAUGGGAUUUAUUUGGAAAAUUGUUGGAGAAGUUUCUGUGCACGCGUUGAUUUUCACGUUAGUGCCCAUUUCCGUUAUUGUCGUAGGUUCCGGAAGAGGUGAUGGAGCCGCGAACUUCGCCGAGCUAGACUCCGACUUCUCCGAACCAGGCAAGCAUGUUUGAACCUUUGAUAUGAUAGGUGUUUUGCAUGUUUGCAUGACAGUUGGAGCGUGGCAUAUGAGUGUCAGUGAGUACCUCGUUGCUUGUGAGGCAACUACCCGCAUGUUCCAAAGUUGCGAUGAUCUCUGAUGAGAGAUGGCCUAAUCAUGUGGUGACAUGAAGGGCAGCAAGGUGGUACUGUUGUAGCAUACCAGCCUUGCGUCAUCCGACGAAUUCCGACGUUAACGUGGACGGAGUCACGUUAUCGUUCUUUUCCCCUCCGUGCUGCCACAUGUUUCAUUUGCCAGGAUGCGGUUUAGUAAGUUGGUAACCUCUUUCCGUGUACACACCAAACAGAGGGGCCGGGAUGAUGGUACCUUGGCCCAGGAUUAAAGCCAGUCAUCCGGUCAGGGGGCAUGGGUGUUUCCGGUUGGGACCGAGAGGGGGGGCACCCCUUUAGAGCGCGCGUAUAGAAAUUUGAUCCCAUGCUACGCGAGGUUGUAGCCUUCCCGUCUCAAGGUUUUUCUUGAACGUUGCCGAGGGUGAUCCCUGGCUUCGGAAUAUUGAAAUGGGUGUGUACUGGUUAGACGUGUUUCUUCCAAAACACCGUAAACGGAACUAGUCCCCGUGACUACGGAAAUCUGUUGGCUGUGGUUAAGUACAAACUCUGCAGAGUCAAAUUCUUCCAAGUCAUCGUGUCCAUGAUCAAGUAGGGUAAUCAAUAUAUCCAUAUCUAUCCUCGUGGAAAACUUGUCUCCGGUGAACAAGCUCAAGUGGUAAACCCGGUUAAAUUAUUAUUACUAUGGAUGGACUAACCUUUUAUUUGUCUCGUACUUGUAAUAAUUUAUGAUCUCGAGCUACUGCAUUAUUGAGCUACAAUAUAAGCCCUUUAUGUGACGUCGCUCAGACGUCCGACUGUGGCAUGUCUUUGUUUCUCACUUUAAAUAUAAGCCCUUUAUGUGAUGUCGCUCAGACGUCCGACUGUGGCACACACUGCCUUUAUUUUCUGAUAUAAGCCCUUUAUGUGGUGUCGCCCCGACGCCCGACUGUGGCAUUAAUAUUCUGCAGUUUCCUCUCGAGGAGUCAUUCAGACACUCGUUUGGCACCAGUAUUACCAUUCUUGCAGUUUCCUCUCGAGGAGUCAUUCAGACACUCGUUUGGCACCAGUACUACUAUUCUUGCAGUUUCCACUCGAGGAGUCAUUCAGACCCUCGUUUGGCACCCAGCAUUUAUUAUCUCUAUGUCUGAACGCACUAGUUAACUUGUUUAUAUGCUUCAUGUUUACAUUUGUUAUAUCUUAUGUCCGAACUGUCUUGCGAGUACUUUCAUAGUACUCACCUGGCUUGUUGAUUUGGCUAGAUGUUGACGAAGGCGAUCUUUUGGAUGAAGAGUUUGAUAGCGCGUCCGACGCCUAGAGGAGUCCCAGUCAGUCCUGCGCGAUCCCGGAUAUUGGUCACUUGUAUUAUAUACGCUUCCGCCACCCGCAAUAACUCUCCUCGAGCCUCGCUUCGACGCUCGAAGAGCUGUAGUCUUCAGGAGUCAUAUCACUCGCUUCGCGGUGAUAUUUCCACCACCGUUAUUAUCGUGAGUUAGUAGUUAUGCCACCCUAUACGCCGUCUUGUUUUAUUAGCGUGCAUGUAAUAGAUUGUUGGGCAGUCUCCGCUCAACCUUGUAUUAUAUUCAGUACUCCUAGUAUUUUUCUUCUGUGACCAAGAUAUUGUCUACCAGUGGGAAGGGAUUCUUCCUUCUGGUCCGUAAAAGGGAUUGGUCUCUCAAUAAUUAUUUUAUUGAAAAACAGGUCGUGACAAGCUUGGUACUAGAGCCAGGCUGGCUGUAGGAAGCCACUAGGUGCGAUCGCUAAUCGGUUAUUAGCGUCUUUUGAGCUUUUUCAGCAUUUUGCAAAUUGUAGCUAUUUUCUGUUGGUCAUCAUAAAUUUAUGACAUGACUACUCAGAAUUUUUGCCUACUUUUGUAGAUGGCUAGCAGUAGCUGUGAGAAUCGAGUGUUCACGAACGUGCCCGAGGGGUUUGUCAAGCUCCUCGUCUCCAUCACCGAGCUCGCGAUCGGGCCAGCAGCCCGCCCGGAGUUCACGCUCUAUCAGCACAAGCUCAGCAACGAUGUGUCUAUGCACCAAGCUGUGGUGCAAUUCAAGGGAGGACGUUCUGCAGCUCGCCACUUCCGUUUUGUGGGAAGGGCCAUGCCUACGGAGAGGCAUGCCAUGCAGAUGGCUGCCCGUGAGGCGAUUGCUCGUCUUCGGGACAUCCUUCCUACGAUGAAGACUCGUCGCUACCGCUACCUCCCAUGCCAUGUGCCAUACACCAGUCACUAUGCAUUCGCCUGCCAUCGGGGAGAGCGAGAUGAAGCCAUCGAGAUGGUUGUGGAGUAUCUCAAGGCUCUGGAAGAGUCUUUCGACAACCUCGUGGACGAUCUUGUGGCUGCCCGCAUGGACUUAGUCCGGGGCGGUCCUGCCAGCAGGAAGGAGCUUCUCCACACGGCACCGCCUCUGACAUUCGUCUCGUCUUCAGCCUCUUAUGCACCGGCCGUUUUGGCCACUGUUCGCCGUCUGCCUACCACUGAGGAGUUCGACCGAGUCGUCGCUCCUACUCCAGUCAGGGCUGCACCGCCUGCCGCACCCGCGCUACCACCUGUCGCUCCCGCGCCAUCACCACAGCGCAGCGUUACGCGCCAGGAGCUAGCUAGAGAGGAGGUGGAGGUUGAUUCUCCUGGACCACUGAGUCUUGCCAUCGGCAAGGGGAAGGAAAUCUACACCAUCUCCGACUGAGAGCGCCGAGUAGCCGCGCGUUAUGUCUAUUUGUAUGAUGUGUUUUCUCUGUACGCUAGUUUGUAUUGGUGUGUUUGCUACCUUCCGGAGGAGUACGCUAGUCUAAAUAACAUGUCAGGAAUGUGUACGCGCAUCCUGAGUGCUGUAUCGUGUGUUUGCUUUUCGCGUGUAAGAAUUGUGUUAAGCAGUCUUUUCUCCAUACAAAACCGCUUAUGUUUUCCUUGAAAACCUUGAAGUCUUUUAAAUUGUUGCCUUUGCAAGAUUUUCCUGGUGCUACACAGUUUUUCUCAUGGGUUUUGCAAAAUAAUACCCCAGACUGGAAAAAUGUCUCAUCCGUGGACUCGCUCCAUGCCCAAUCAGCCAGAAGAGGUUUAUGGGACACAGACUAGCAACAACUUCACUCAGGGUCAGUCCAGUCAACAAGACAGCGAAGCAGCCCUGUCUCAAGUCUGCCGUCUCUUCGAGCAAAGCCAGCAACAGCACCAAGAGAUGAUGAAUCAUGUCAUCAAUAUGGGAAACCACCGCGAACCCUAUCAACCACAUUCCAAGUUAUCUGAGUUACAGAAGACUCGCCCUUCAACUUUUGCUCACACCGACAGGCCGCUGGAAGCCGAUGAUUGGCUUCGUGACAUUGAAAGGAAACUGAUUAUUGCUCAGUGUUCAGAUCAUGAGAAGGUGCUUUAUGCGCCACACUACCUUACUGGAGCAGCUGCAGCAUGGUGGGAGAACUUCCUACACAUGCAUCCCAGUGAACACAACAUCACCUGGGAAGAGUUCAAGGAAGGCUUCCGUGGGGCACACAUCCCCAGGAGCAUCAUAAAAAUCAAGAAGAGAGAGUUUGAUGACCUGAAGCAGAGAGGCAUGUCAGUGACAGAAUACAAUGGUCAAUUUACCCAGCUAUCUCGUUAUGCCUACGACGAGCACAUGACAGAAAACAAGAAGAUGGAAAAAUUCCUGGACGGCCUGGCACCAGCACUAAGAUGCCAACUGAUUGUACACACAUUUCCGGAUUUUAAAACUCUGGUGGACAAGGCCAUUACCUUGGAGAAUGAGCGCCGUAGUCUGGAAGAUGUCCGUAAGCGAAAGAGGGACAAAACGACUCUUGCUCGCAACAACCGAAACAAGACUGAGGUUCCACGGACAGAAGCAAGGAGAUCCACGAUUACUGAUCCAAGGCCCGUCGGACAGUUUCAUGCCAGGGACAAGGAGUACACGUACCGUCCAGGGGUCACCUGCUAUGCUUGUGGUCAAGAAGGGCACUAUGCUAAACAAUGCCCAAAGCCGAGGAACGCGGCCCCCAAACCAAACAAUGGUGGAAACAAUCCAGCCCCCAAGCGCAACAAUUUCAAUCCCAACAACAACCACAGGAAGGGUCACCUGAACCAUGUGACCAGGGAAGAAGCGCAGAAUGCCCCAGACAUCGUGCUCGGUACGUUCCCUGUCAACACAGUACCUGCCACGGUUUUGUUUGAUUCUGGAGCUUCCCAUUCGUUCGUUUCGAAGAGUUUUGUUUUGCGACAUGGUUUUCCGAUACUUCCCUUGGAAAAAUCUAUGAUCAUCAAGUCCCCCGGAAAUAAGCAAAUCGCUCAGGGUUACUGCCAAGGAGUGGUCAUUGAGUUCGAAGGACUACAAUUCCAAGCAAAUCUCAUCGUGUUGGAGAGUAAAGGACUGGAUGUCAUUUUAGGAAUGGACUGGUUGACCACCAACAAAGGAUUCAUUUACUGUUUCAAUCGGACCGUGAUUCUCACCCACCAUCAUGGCAAGACCAUUAAGGUCACAGCUCAAGAAAGGCCACGAACACAACAACCAAAACUGGAAAAAAGUGGGCAUUUCUGAACUGAGAAAAGUUCCAGUGGUAUGCGAGUUUCCUGAUGUGCUCCCUGAAGAACUGCCAGGCAUGCCACCAGACCGAGAGAUAGAGUUCAGCAUCGAACUAGCACCUGGCACCGCUCCCAUCUAUAAGAAGCCUUAUAGAAUGGCACCAUCAGAAUUGGUGGAGUUGAAGAAGCAGAUAAAGGAAUUAUUGGACAAAGGAUUUAUUCGAGCCAGCUCCUCACCUUGGGGUUUGCCAGUGUUGUUCGCCAAGAAAAAGGAUGGGACACUGAGACUGUGUAUAGACUAUCGAGCCCUCAAUAUGGUCACCAUCAAAAACAAAUAUCCGAUGCCACGGAUAAAUGAUUUGUUUGACCAGCUCGCACAAGCCAAGGUAUUCUCAAAAAUUGAUUUGAGAUCGGGAUAUCAUCAACUGAAGGUACGGACAGAAGAUAUCCCCAAGACAGCAUUCACUUCCAGAUACGGAUUAUACGAGUUUACAGUGAUGCCUUUUGGACUAACGAACGCCCCCGCAUAUUUCGUCCACCUCAUGAACAAAGUGUUCAUGAAAUUCAUGGACAAAUUCGUUGUGGUAUUUAUUGACGAUAUCUUGGUUUACUCAAGGACACCAGAAGAGCAUGCUGAGCACCUCAGAAUUGUUUUGGGAGAACUAAGGAAACAUCAGUUGUACGCCAAAUUUAGCAAGUGCGAAUUUUGGCUAAGACAAGUUGGUUUCUUAGGCCAUAUAUUGAACCAAGAAGGCGUGGCCGUAGACCGAGAAAAAGUCAAAGCCAUACUUGACUGGAAGCCGCCCGCCAACGUUACAGAUGUGCGGAGUUUCCUAGGAAUGGCCGGAUAUUACAGAAGGUUUAUUGAAGGAUUCUCCACUGUGGCAAAACCUAUAACACAGUUGCUCAAGAAAGACAAGAAAUUUGUAUGGACGGAAGCAUGCGAGAAAAGCUUCCAAGAACUCAAGAAGAAGCUGACAACCGCACCGGUCUUAACUGUGCCAGACAUACACAAGAGUUUUGAAGUAUAUUGUGACGCGUCCCGAAAAGGUCUCGGAUGUGUACUAAUGCAGGAUGGCAAAGUUGUCGCAUAUGCCUCCAGGCAGCUGCGAAAACAUGAGGAAAAUUACCCAACACAUGACUUGGAGCUAGCAGCAGUUAUUCAUGCACUCAAGGAGUGGAGGCACUUUCUGCUGGGAAAUCGCUGUGAAAUAUAUACGGACCACAAGAGCCUCAAAUAUAUUUUCACACAGCCCGAGCUAAAUUUACGCCAACGACGCUGGUUGGAACUGGUCAAGGACUAUGAUGUCGGUAUUCACUACCAUCCAGGGAAAGCAAAUGUAGUGGCCGAUGCCCUUAGUCGAAACCCCAGCCCGGACAAUGACGGUCCGCAAAACUUGAGGCCUGAGUUUCAGCAAGAGUUCGCUAGGCUCAACAUGAUGUUAGUCUCUGAGAGCACCGUAUCGAAUCUAGAGAUACAACCCACCCUGGUGGAACAAAUUAAGAAAGCUCAACAGGGACAUCCUAGCAUCGAAGGUAUAAAGAAGAAAGUGGACCUUGGUAAGGCUUCAGAGUUCGUCACAGACAGUGAAGGGACAUUAUGGUAUGGAGACAGACUUUGCGUACCUAACAUUGAGGAACUCAAGCAACAAAUCUUAACCGAAAGCCACACCGCUCCAUACUCGAUCCAUCCUGGAGGAACCAAAAUGUACAAGGACAUUCAGGAAAGAUUUUGGUGGCACGGUAUGAAAAGAGAUAUAGCCGCAUUUAUUGCUUGUCGCGAUUCAUGUCAGCGCAUCAAGGCCGAGCAUCAAAAGCCAGCAGGGCUACUCCAGCCAAACAGGAUACCGGAGUGGAAAUGGGAUGAAAUAGGAAUGGACUUCAUUGUCGGAUUACCCCGAUCACAACGCGGAAAUGACGCCAUAUGGGUCAUCACAGACCGACUAACCAAGGUUGCUCAUUUCAUUCCCGUGAAGACUACCUACUCCACACAAAGACUGGCCAAACUUUAUCUCUCCCGUAUAGUUUGUUUGCAUGGAGUCCCAAAGGCUAUAAUAUCCGACCGAGGCACUCAAUUCGUCUCCAAAUUUUGGGAUCACCUACAGCAAGCUCCGGGCAUACAACUAGCUUUCAGCACAGCAUACCACCCUCAGACUGAUGGACAAACAGAACGUGUAAACCAAAUCCUAGAGGAUAUGCUAAGAGCCUGUGUGCUCACCUAUGGAUCCAGUUGGGAAGAGAGUCUACCGUAUGCCGAAUUUGCUUACAACAAUAGUUACCAAGCCAGCUUGCAAAUGGCACCCUUUGAAGCAUUGUACGGAAGGAGGUGUCGUACCCCACUGAAUUGGUCAGAAACAGGUGACAGCCGUAUCUUCGGCCCAGACAUGCUUAAAGAGGCCGAGGAGAAAGUUAAACAGAUCAGGGAUAGACUGAAGACAGCGCAGAGCCGACAAAAGAGCUACUAUGAUCAGAAGCAUCGUGAGGUCAGCUUUGAACCCGGUGAUUCCGUAUACCUCCGAGUAUCUCCUAUGAGGGGUCUGCAACGGUUCAAAAUUAAGGGGAAGCUAGCCCCAAGAUUUAUUGGACCAUUUUGUGUAAAGGCACGAAGAGGCACGGUAGCCUACCAACUAGACCUACCCAAGGAGCUAUCAGACGUCCAUGACGUAUUUCACGUCUCUCAACUGAGAAAAUGUGUGAGUAACCCGGAGAAGCAUGUACCCCAUGAAGGCAUUGAUGUGCAACCAGACCUCACCUACAGAGAGAGGCCAGUAAAGAUUUUAGAAGAGUCUGAACGGAGGACCCGUCAGAAAACGACAAAGUUUUUCAGAGUUCAGUGGAGCAACCACACUGAGGAUGAAGCCACAUGGGAAAGGGAAGAUUUUCUCCAGGCAGAAUAUCCAUAUCUAUUUGAGGAUCAGCAGAAAUCUCGAGGAUGAGAUUUUUCCUAAGGGGGUAGGUGUUGUGACACCCAAAUUUUUAUUUGGAUUUUUCAAAAGAUUUUAUUUGACUUGAGGGAGGUGAUUUAAAAAUUUUCUUCAAAAUAACACUCCCUUUCAAAUAUAUUUUUUCUUCUUUAUGGCAAAGGUUUUAUUUGGAUUCACCCAAGAUCUGUCUUUGGUCUUGGAGGUUCUUGCUUUUUAUUUGGAUUCAAGACAAAAUGUUUUUCAUUUGGGGAAAAUGACUUUUGAAAAUCUUUUUGAAAAUGCACUAUGGCUUUUGGAAUAAUCCUUUGCCACUUUCAACAUUUCUCUCUUGCCAUGGCCUUAGUGCAAAUCCACUCUCCUAACCCUCCCCUCAUCUUUGGAUCAUGUUUUGCAUCAAAUCCAGCAAGUUGAACCUCCCCCUAUGAUUAUUUUCCAUUUAAAUUUCAUCAAAUAAAUUUCUGUCUUCUACCCUAGCCCUUGGAGAUUUACAAAGGAGCUACCAUCUCUGCUUUGAUUUUUGGCCCCAAACCAAUUCCCCUUCCUAGUCCUUUGAACCCUCAACCAAGAUCCAUGAAGAUCCACUGGUCUUCAGUUCAAAUUUUUCAAACUACACUUGCUGCAAGUUUGGACCAGAUUUGUCAAAUUUGGUGAAAUUCAUUCAAAUCCCUCUCCAAAAAUUCCAAGUAUAAUCAGGCAGCCUCUGGGUGCAUUGAGUGGUCACCUCACCAAGUACCAGCUCCAGAAAAAAAUUUCUGCUUGCCAAAUCAUUCUGUCGAACACCUGCAGUGCAUUGUCAAUAUCAGGUUCAGUAAAGUUCAGAGAACAUUUCAGUGCGCUGUCGUUUUCUUCAGAGCCCGACGUCGAUCUCGCCAGUGCCACUGUGUCGCCGUGUUCCCUGUCCCCUCCCCCUUGUCCUCUGCACCGCACGAGCAUCUGGCACCUUGCGGACGUCGGCGAAAAGCCGCCGCUUGCGUCGGUCACGGGGCGGCGCUGACGGCGCCACCCAGCGCCGCCCAAGCCAUCGGAGCUCGCCGCGUGGCCUUCCACUCCCCAGAACGCGCUGCCACUCUCGUCGUGAACCGCAGGGCGCAGAGCGCGCUCUCUGCCGCCGACGUGCCCGUGCGGCCACUCCACCGUGGACCGGCGCCAUAACGCCAAGACCAACCGAGAUUUGCGGGGGAACGGCACCAGUAACCUCCACUGAUGCUGCCUGGCCACUCAAACCUCCUGCCAAUCCACUGCAUCGCCGUAAUUGCUCGCCGAAGAUUCUCCGUUCACGGCCACCCCGUCGAUCCGCCUAUAAAUAGAGGCCCCGAGCUUCAAUUUGAACCCACACCAUCCCUGCACUCCACCUAGAGCACGCCUAGCCACUGGAAGAGCCCCGAGGAGGUCUCCUUCCUCGACUCCGGCCGCCGCGACCCGCCACGGGAUCCAGCUCGAUUCGCCCCCGUGCGUGCGCCUCUGCCUCCCAUCUCUUGCCAGUAGCUUCACUAUGCAUCCCUCCUUCUGACCCGCGCUUCAAUUCGAAGUUUGCAGCCCUCCACCGGAGUUCUCCACCAUCACCCGAGCCGCCGUCCGCCGGAGAAAGUGUCGCCGUCGACGUGGUGCUCCCCGUUAGUCGAGUCCACCACCCACCGACGCGGAAGAACACGCUGAAGCUCUUGGUACCCUCCGAUCUUCCUGACUCGCCGUGGUUCGACGCCGGCGUCCACCGCAGUCUUCGGGCGCCGGCGAGCUUUUUGAACCUGACAUGUGGACCCCCCAUGUCAGCCUCUGUUCUAAUCUCCCUCGAGCCGUUUUCUAUUGGCGCCUUCGGGCAAAAUACGCUUUCCCUCUUUAGCUAGCGCAUUUCUUUCAGAAGCGUUUUCUGGUUUCUCAGUUUAAACCCUGGAACUUUUCUGUUUCAUUACAGAUAGGUCCCUGGACAGAAACCUUUAUAACUUUUUAAUAAAAAGGAAUUUUUGAGUGAUUCUUUUUCUGACCUUCUUAAAAUUUUGUCGAGUUUUUUAUGGGAUUUAUUUGGAAAAUUGUUGGAGAAGUUUCUGUGCACGCGUUGAUUUUCACGUUAGUGCCCGUUUCCGUUAUUGCCGUAGGUUCCGGAAGAGGUGACGGAGCCGCGAACUUCGCCGAGCUAGACUCUGACUUCUCCGAACCAGGCAAGCAUGUUUGAACCUUUGAUAUGAUAGGUGUUUUGCAUGUUUGCAUGACAGUUGGAGCGUGGCAUAUGAGUGUCAGUGAGUACCUCGUUGCUUGUGAGGCAACUACCCGCAUGUUCCAAAGUUGCGAUGAUCUCUGAUGAGAGAUGGCCUAAUCAUGUGGUGACAUGAAGGGCAGCAAGGUGGUACUGUUGUAGCAUACCAGCCUUGCGUCAUCCGACGAAUUCCGACGUUAACGUGGACGGAGUCACGUUAUCGUUCUUUUCCCCUCCGUGCUGCCACAUGUUUCAUUUGCCAGGAUGCGGUUUAGUAAGUUUGUAACCUCUUUUCAUGUACACACCAAACAGAGGGGCCGGGAUGAUGGUACCUUGGCCCAGGAUUAAAGCCAGUCAUCCGGUCAGGGGGCAUGGGUGUUUCCGGUUGGGACCGAGAGGGGGGGCACCCCCUUAGAGCGCGCGUAUAGAAAUUUGAUCCCAUGCUACGCGAGGUUGUAGCCUCCCCGUCUCAAGGUUUUUCUUGAACGUUGCCAAGGGUGAUCCCUGGCUUCGUAAUAUUGAAAUGGGUGUGUACUGGUUAGACGUGUUUCUUCCAAAACACCGUAAACGGAACUAGUCCCCGUGACUACGGAAAUCCGUUGGCUGUGGUUAAGUACAAACUCUGCAGAGUCAAAUUCUUCCAAGUCAUCGUGUCCAUGAUCAAGUAGGGUAAUCAGUAUAUCCAUAUCUAUCCUCGUGGAAAACUUGUCUCCGGUGAACAAGCUCAAGUGGUAAACCCGGUUAAAUUAUUAUUACUAUGGAUGGACUAACCUUUUAUUUGUCUCGUACUUGUAAUAAUUUAUGAUCUCGAGCUACUGCAUUAUUGAGCUACAAUAUAAGCCCUUUAUGUGACGUCGCUCAGACGUCCGACUGUGGCAUGUGUUUGUUCUUACUUUAAAUAUAAGCCCUUUUUGCAACGUCGCGCAGACGUCCGACUAUUGCGUGUCUUUGUUUCUCACUUUAAAUAUAAGCCAUUUAUGUGAUGUCGCUCAGACGUCCGACUGUGGCACGCACUGCCUUUAUUUUCUGAUAUAAGCCCUUUAUGUGGUGUCGCCCCGACGCCCGACUGUGGCAUUAAUAUUCUGCAGUUUCCUCUCGAGGAGUCAUUCAGACACUCGUUUGGCACCAGUAUUACCAUUCUUGCAGUUUCCUCUCGAGGAGUCAUUCAGACACUCGUUUGGCACCAGUACUACUAUUCUUGCAGUUUCCGCUCGAGGAGUUAUUCAGACCCUCGUUUGGCACCCAACAUUUAUUAUCUCUAUGUCUGAACGCACUGGUUAACUUGUUUAUAUGCUUCAUGUUUACAUUUGUUAUAUCUUAUGUCCGAACUGUCUUGCGAGUACUUUCAUAGUACUCACCUGGCUUGUUGAUUUGGCCAGAUGUUGACGAAGGCGAUCUUUUGGAUGAAGAGUUUGAUAGCGCGUCCGACGCCUAGAGGAGUCCCAGUCAGUCCUGCGCGAUCCCGGAUAUUGGUCACUUGUAUUAUAUACGCUUCCGCCACCCGCAAUAAGUCUCCUCGAGCCUCGCUUCGACGCUCGAAGAGCUGUAGUCUUCAGGAGUCAUAUCACUCGCUUCGCGGUGAUAUUUUCACCACGUUAUUAUCGUGAGUUAGUAGUUAUGCCACCCUAUCCGCCGUCUUGUUUUAUUGGCGUGCAUGUAAUAGAUUGUUGAGCAGUCUCCGCUCAACCUUGUAUUAUAUUCAGUACUCCUGGUAAUUUUCUUCUGUGACCAAGAUAUUGUCUACCAGUGGGAAGGGAUUCUUCCUUCUGGUCGGUAAAAGGGAUUGGUCUCUCAAUAAUUAUUUUAUUGAAAAACCGGUCGUGACACCAUAGGGUCUAUUAUGUAUGCCAUGCUGUCUGCCAGACCUGAUGUAAACCUUGCCGUAAGUUUGGUAGGAAGGUACCAAAGUAAUCCCUGCAUGGAACACUAGACAGCGGUCAAGAAUAUCCUGAAGUACCUGAAGAGGACUAAGGAUAUGUUUCUCGUUUAUGGAGGUGACGAAGAGCUCGUCGUAAAGGGUUACGUCGAUGCUAACUUCGACACAGAUCUGGAUGACUCGAAGUCACAAACCGGAUACGUGUAUAUUUUGAAUGGAGGGGCAGUAAGCUGGUGCAGUUGCAAGCAAAGCGUCGUGGCGGGAUCUACAUGUGAAGCGGAGUACAUGGCAGCCUCAGAGGCAGCGCAAGAAGCAAUCUGGAUGAAGGAGUUCAUUACCGACCUAGGGGUGAUUCCCAAUGCGUCGGGCCCGAUGACUCUCUUCUGUGACAACAUUGGAGCUAUUGCCCUUGCCAAGGAGCCCAUGUUUCACAGGAAGACCAGUCAUAUCAAGCGUCGCUUCAACUCCAUUCGUGAAAGUGUUCAAAAUGGAGACAUAGAUAUUUGUAAAGUACAUACGGACCUGAAUGUAGCAGAUCCGUUGACUAAACCUCUCCCUAGAGCAAAACAUGAUCAACACCAGAACGCUAUGGGUGUUCGAUUCAUCACAAUGUAACUAGAUUAUUGACUCUAGUGCAAGUGGGAGACUGUUGGAAAUAUGCCCUAGAGGCAAUAAUAAAUGGUUAUUAUUAUAUUUCCUUGUUCAUGAUAAUUGUCUAUUGUUCAUGCUAUAAUUGUGUUAUCCGGAAAUCGUAAUACAUGUGUGAAUACAUAGACCACAACAUGUACCUAGUAAGCCUCUAGUACACUAGCUCGUUGAUCAACAGAUAGUCAUGGUUUCCUGACUAUGGACAUUGGAUGUCAUUGAUAACGAGAUCACAUCAUUAGGAGAAUGAUGUGAUGGACAAGACCCAAUCCUAAGCAUAGCACAAAAGAUCGUGUAGUUCGUUUGCUAGAGCUUUUCCAAUGUCAAGUAUCAUUUCCUUAGACCAUGAGAUCGUGUAACUCCCGGAUGCCGUAGGAGUGCUUUGGGUGUACCAAACGUCACAACAUAACUGGGUGACUAUAAAGGUACACUACGGGUAUCUCUGAAAGUGUCUGUUGGGUUGACACGGAUCGAGACUGGGAUUUGUCACUCCGUAUGACAGAGAGGUAUCUCUGGGCCCACUCGGUAAUGCAUCAUCAUAAUGAGCUCAGGGUGACUAAGGAGUUAGCCACGGGAUCAUGCAUUACGGUAUGAGUAAAGAGACUUGCCGGUAACGAGAUUGAACAAGGUAUUGGGAUACCGACGAUCGAAUCUCGGGCAAGUAACGUACCGAUUGACAAAGGGAAUUGUAUACGGGAUUGAUUGAAUCCUCGACAUCGUGGUUCAUCCGAUGAGAUCAUUGUGGAACAUGUGGGAGCCAACAUGGGUAUCCAGAUCCCGCUGUUGGUUAUUGACCGGAGAGGCGUCUCGAUCAUGUCUGCAUGUCUCCCGAACCCGUAGGGUCUACACACUUAAGGUUCGGUGACGCUAGGGUUGUAGAGAUAUUAGUAUGCGGAAACCCGAAAGUUGUUCGGAGUCCCGGAUGAGAUCCCGGACGUCACGAGGAGUUCCGGAAUGGUCCGGAGGUGAAGAAUUAUAUAUAGGAAGUCCAGUUUCGGCCACCGGGAAAGUUUCGGGGGUUAUCGGUAUUGUACCGGGACCACCGGAAGGGUCUCGGGGGUCCACCGGGUGGGGCCACCUAUCCCGGAGGGCCCCAUGGGCUGAAGUGGGAAGGGAACCAGCCCUUAGUGGGCUGGGGCGCCCCCCUUGGGCCUCCCCCUGCGCCUAGGGUUGGAAACCCUAGGGGUGGGGGCGCCCCACUUGCCUUGGGGGGCAAGCCCCCCCCCUUGGCCGCCGCCCCCCCUCAGAUGGGAUCUCCAGGGUGGCCGGCGCCCCCCCAGGACCCCUAUAAAUAGUGGGGGAGAGGGAGGGCAGCAACAACACAGCCCCUGGCGCCUCCCUCUCCCCCUGCAACACCUCUCCCUCCCGCUUGUGCUUGGCGAAGCCCUGCCGGGAUCCCCGCUACUUCCACCACCACGCCGUCGUGCUGCUGGAUCUCCAUCAACCUCUCCUUCCCCCUUGCUGGAUCAAGAAGGAGGAGACGUCGCUGCUCCGUACGUGUGUUGAAGACGGAGGUGCCGUCCGUUCGGCACUCGGUCAUCGGUGAUUUGGAUCACGUCGAGUACGACUCCAUCAACCUCGUUCACUUGAACGCUUCCGCUCGCGAUCUACAAGGGUAUGUAGAUGCACUCCUUUCCCCUCGUUGCUAGUAUACUCCAUAGAUGGAUCUUGGUGAUGCGUAGGAAAUUUUAAAAUUCUGCUACGAUCCCCAACAAACGAGUCACCUUGUCGCAAUCCCUUCUUCGUUUGGAAAUAGUGUCCAACGUCACCAUUGACCUUAAUGGCAACACUACCCCCAUAAGCGAUGCUAUGGAUCAUAGCGCGCCACACUGCAAAAAAUCCUUUUAUUCUUAGAGUCUGUUGAAGAAAGGGCCACUUGACUUUGUCAUAAGCCUUUUCAAAGUCUAUUUUGAGUACCACCCCAUUCAACUUUUUUCGGUGUAACUCAUGGACUGUUUCAUGAAGGAUAACAACUCCAUCUAGGAUGUGUCUGCCUUGCAUAAAAUUUGUUUGUGAAGACGAACCACAUGUUCAGCAACCAAAUUUAGCCUAAUAAUUGCAACCUUCAUGAAUAUUUUCAAACUAACAUUAGGGAGGCAAAUAGGUCUGUAUUGUUGUAUCCUUUCAGCCUCAUUAACCUUAGGUAAUAAAAUAAUCUCACCGAAGUUUAAGCGACGCAAUUCUAGUUGGCCAGCAUGAAGAUCGCUAAACAAAAGUAGGAGAUCCAGUUUGAUGACUUCUUAGAAGUUCUGAUAUAACUCUACAGAAAAACCAUCCGGACCCGAGGCUUUGUUAUGCUCCAUUAGGAAAACCACCUUUCUAACUUCCUCCUCAGAGUAUGGGGUUGUUAGAAGGUUGUUUUCCUCAUCAAAGACCUGUGGGAUGUCAUAUGUUCGGGAUUCAUCCAUCGAGAAGUUUCCUUCCUCUGUUGCUCCUAACAGAUUUUUGUGAUAAUUAGUGAUGUAAGAUUUAAGUUGCUCAUGCCCCUCGAUCAUCCCCUCAUCCGGUUGCAGGGAAUGAAUAAUUUUCUUUCGGUGUCUGCCAUUGCUGACUUCAUGGAAAUAUCUAGUAUUUGAAUCACCUUUUAGGAUAAACUGAGAGUUAGAAUGUUGGUACCAUUUGAGUUCCUAUUCACAUAGCAUGCUAGCUAUCUGUGCAUUCGAAUGAUUCUUGAUCUCGAUUUCAUGCUCAGGUAGAGGUCUAACCUCUGCCAAAGCUUCUAAUUCAUCAAUGAUAGAUGAAAGACGAUGCUUAUCAUUUUCUAGGAUACCCACCGUAUGCCCAGCUCAUCCACCAAGGAAUUUACGUAAUGCAUGCAUUUUGUUAUUUCAUCUAUCUAUUGGGGUAGGCCCGACCACCGGUUUCACCCACACCUCCUUGACCAUGUCAUGGAAGCCAUCCUGAAGCAACCACCCAAGUUCGAACUUGAACUUGCAUCUAUGUUGUGGUCGUAGCAAAGCAGUAGUUAGGAGAAUGGGUGUGUGGUCUGAUGCCUCGAUACGAGGUAGAGCACGAACAGACACCAUAGGAAAUUUAGAUUUUUAGUCGGUAUCCAUUAAAAGUGAUCUACUUUCUCAUAUGUCGGUUCCAGAAGACUGUUUGCCCAAGUGAAUUGUCUAAGUGAAUUGUCUUCCAAUCAUGGAAACCUCUCACGGAUCUAGACUGUCGAUGACAACUUGGAAAGGAAAGGCCAAUGAUUUAUCAAAUCUACCACUGCUUUUCUCAUUUGGAAACCUAUAAGAAUGGGAUAGGGAUUAUCUUUCGGCAAAUUAAGAUCCAUUGGAGACAUACCUCCACAUGCCCAUCAAUGAUGCCAGUAGGACGGGGGGCAGGCAGGAAGAACCUUAUUCCAUCUUCAGGGAACUGCCGCCGUCUCGUCUUACAGGACACAAACCCUAACAUAACUCUGAAGAAACCUAUAAAAUCGGAGCCAUCCCGCCGGCAAGGGUCGGGAUCUGUCGCGCCCCCAUGACCCUAAGGCCACCGGAGACAAGGUGGACCGGCGGCGGCGUCGGCGGGAUAUAGAGGAGCCCUAGUCUCUUUUUUUGGGAGGAGGCAGCGGCUGUGCGUUGUCAAUCGUUGUUGCAACUUGUGGGAAAGUGAGAAGAAAGACUAUACGAUGCGCAUCAUGAAUCAGAUGGCUCGUGGGCCGGCUGGCUUUUAGAAAGACCUAGCACGCCCCUCCUUUUUGAAAAUCGCUAUGGAACCAAAAGCAAAUUGAGAUUCUCCUUUAUAUACAAAAUUAUCUAAUCAAAUUGAGAUGAGAUUUACUUAAAAGUAUUCCAUCUAUCCCCCUUUUCUCUUUUUGAAACAGAUGCCCUGGUAGACCGGGUGCAUGGUCCUGGCUCGAUUAACAACCCACAAAUCGUAGAGAGCAUUGAUUCCCGCGUACACCGGAUCCAGCAACCUCCUCUCCAGCGGCGGCCCACCGGUCAUGGUCUCUGCCCACAGAAACCAACCUGGCCAACGCUGGCGCCGACGGGUGGCCAGCCCACACGUGCGAAGCCCGGCCCCCGCACGUCAGCCUCCUCCCCUCCAACCACGUCCGCCAGGCCACCCCGAGCCGUCCAUCACGACCCCCGGCACGCCACCGGCCGUCCGAUGCGCCCCGGGGUUGUUCCACGCCCUCCCUCCGCUCCUCGUAUGCCCCGCCCGCCGCCGCCUAUAUAAGCCCCGCCUCCUCCCCCACCCCGAGCAGAUAAGAUCGAUCGAUCGCGGAGCGAGAGAGAGAGAAAAAAAAUCUUCUCGUCGGUAGGGUUUCGGGGGCUGCGAUGGCGAUGGAGGCGCGGAUGAAGGGGACGGUCAAGUGGUUCAACGACACCAAGGGGUUCGGCUUCAUCUCCCCCGACGACGGCAGCGAGGACCUCUUCGUGCACCAGUCCUCCAUCAAGGCCGACGGCUUCCGCUCGCUGGCCGAGGGCGAGGUGGUCGAGUUCGCCGUCUCGGAGGGCGACGACGGCCGCACCAAGGCCGUCGACGUCACCGGCCCCGACGGAUCCUUCGUGCAGGGCGGCGCGGGCGGCGGCGGGGGCGGCUUCGGAUCCCGCGGCGGCGGCGGAUCUCGCGGCGGCGGGGGCUUCGGCGGCCGCGGCGGGGACGGAUCUGGCGGGUACGGAGGUGGGUAUGGCGGUGGUGGCAGCGGCGGCUGGGGCGGCCAGAGGAGAUCCGGCGGUGGAGGCGCCGGUGGGGCCUGCUUCAAGUGCGGGGAGCCUGGCCACAUGGCCAGGGACUGCUCGGUCAACGGCCCCGCUGGUGGCGGCGGCGGCGGCGGCUGCUACAAGUGCGGCGAGCAAGGCCACAUCGCCAGGGACUGCUUCAACGGCGGCGCCGGCGGAGGAGGCGGCGGCUACGGCGGCGGCGGCGGCGGUAACUGCUACAGCUGCGGCGAGCCGGGCCACAUCGCGAGGGACUGCCCCACCAGCAGCGGCUUUGGCGGGGGCGGCGGCGGGAGGUUCGGCGGAGGAGGCGGCGGCGGCGGCGACCGCACCUGCUACCACUGCGGCGAGACCGGCCACAUCUCCCGCGACUGCACCAAGUGAGGGGAUAUCUCUGCCCCUCCCCCUCUAUAGAUUGCGCCUAAAUACCUCUCGUCUUAGUUUUGCCGAUCGAUCGAUCUGGGCCUGAGCGCCCAGCCGCAGCCGCCUCGCUUAUUUUAUCUUCCUCCCCCCUUCCGUUCUCGGAAUCCGUCCUAGGGGAAAGUCAGUCAGUCAGUCAGUCCGUGUGAUGGUUAAUUUUGCUAUGAAUUGGUCCUCUGGUACCCGUACCCGUACUCUCAGUUGAUGUCUAAGGUCGUGAUGAUGAUGGAUUAUUGGUGAUUUUUGUGUGGUGAUGAUGAGGAGAUUGCAACACAUCUCUGUUUUUUGGUUUCAUCGAUGAAGUAAAAGAUGCCGGUCGUUAUUAUCAUCCUCCAUGAGUGAAUGAAUGAAUUCUCUCUUGUCAGAUCAGAUCUCUGCUCUAGUGGUAGAACUAUUACCUCUGUCUGACAUCCUGUUUGUUAAUUGAUUAUGAUUAUGUUAAAGUAGAGUUUGGAAGGCGAUUAACUAGUGCUGGUACUUUCAUCUGCUGAGGUUUUUGCGUGGGGAAAGUGAGGUUUUGUCUGGGCUGCGUAGUGGAGGGGAAAGUUUUUACUGGAUUUGCGAUCGACCCUUUUAAUCCGGGGAAAGCGUCAAUCUGGGGUAAGCAAUGGUGUCAGUUCCCCAACCAUGGGGUGUCAUGCCCUGUCUGGUGCUGUUUUUGGAUCCACUUUCCUGUCAGUGUCUAGUGGUUGCGUUGUAUUUAAGCUUGCACUGUGUCUGGCUCUGCUCAUGAUUUUUUUGGCGUGCUGGUCCAUAUACAUCUCCAGCACAAUACAGAAGUUGUUUUACAUCUUUGUUCUGGGAUUUAUUUCUGGAUUGCUGUUGUGAUAGGUCUGUAACACCGAGUUUUUCUGCCGUUAGACACUGAAUUUCAAUCCCCACCUGUGCCUUUUGUGCUUAAUCACUUGAAUUAUAGUCUGGGACGGCAUAGCAUUACUGUUGCGUCUUGGUGGGGCGUGUAGAUGAGGAUAGGAUAGAGCGUUGGCCGAUGGGACGGAAGGAAAGGCAGAGCACACUGGCCGUCUGGCCGGCUGCAGUGUGUUUAAUCCGGUAGCUGUGUACUAGCUGUAUGUUUUCUCAGGAGUGCUACUGGUAUAAUUUUAUUGAUUUAUGUGUGGUGUAUAUGGACGUUGGCUAUUUUUAGCGCAACGAGACGGCCCGUGACCUGUGUGUCGGCCCCGCAGAGGCAUGCGCCGAAGGGUCGCCGUCAGGUGUCAAUCCGAUCUGGUGCGCGCUCUCGUGCUCCAGUUUUUACUGGCCGGUCAAUGCCGCUAGUCUGCCGGAGGGCACUGUGUCGCAUGCCUGUGUCAGUGUCCUCCGCCUGCCUUGUCUAUCCGAAUCCUGUGCUUGCUUUGGCCGUCGUCCAGAUGGCGCGCCAGCGGCCCUCGACCGUACGUUCGCGCGCAUGGGAGAGAGAAAGAGAACGACCCCUGCUGCACAUGCUCUAGCUGCUUGUGCUGUCCUCCAUCACCAGCGCGCCACGCCAAAAGAUAGGAGAAGAUAAUCAUUAUCAUAGCUUAUUAGACCCAUGGUGGUAAUCAUGGAGUAUCUUGCUAAUCUUAGCUUAAAAGCUUGCCGUGUGGCCGCCAGGUCCCAGUGCCAGCAAGAGAGAUCUGCUCUAGAAUGGCUUAAAAACUGUUGGAGAAGCUCGCCUUUUUCGUUUUGUUUUAUUUAUACGUGUUGCCUAGGCGAGAUGUAGAUGAUGCGCGCCGUCCAAGGUGUGGACGGUGCGGGCGAUGGAUAGGUACCACGGGCAUUAUUUGUCUGGAUGAUAUGAUGCGGAGGGGUUGGGGCAUCGUAUCCUGUUGCGCGCUUUUUGAUUUUUCGAGCAUAUGUGCCGAUCGAGGGGCUGGAUUAUAUUCUCCCUGUAGAUUUUUUUUCCCUGUAGAUGCGUUGAUUGAUCGCAGCAAGAUAUUUGGGCCUCCAUUGAUGGCCGGUGCUGGUGCCCGUGCCGGUGAGCUACCGAGGGAAGCGGGUGGGGAUGGACAGACGGACGGCGAGUGAGCGAGGAAACUCCUUGGGUGUCUGACCGAGUUUCCUCUUGAUCAUGAGGUUUCCAAUCCCAAACAUUUCAAAAUUGUUGCACGUGUAGAUGUGGGUAUGGGGGUUUCAGAAUUGGUCGCCAGCACAAAGGAGGACGAUCUGAACCAACAAUCACAAGGCGCUCGCCGGUUGAUCUUGUGCAACAAGGGUUCCAUAUGAUCAAUUGUCUGAGCAAAAGAUCACAUUUCUAUGUUUAAAAAAUGGGUGUGCCCUAAUUAUUGCACAUCUAAGUGACCCGUUCAAACAUAAUAAGGAAAAAAAAUACCCAUAUGAUCAAUUGUCUGAGUUUUGCAAUACUUAUGUCACAUCUAGAUGUACUUUAGCAAAACUGUUAAAAAAUAAUGGAAAGGUAAUCUAGGUAGUAGGUGCAAGCUUAACUUCGUAUGUUUUCAUAAAAAUGUGCGGCCUUGUGCGAAAAUCACAAAACGUACUUCUGCAACACAAGUUUAUGCGACUUGUAUUGAUAGCUUGUCACAUAGGAUUAUUCCUUUUUAGAACAAGUCAUAAUUACAUUUUUUGAAGGUAGGGAUUGCUCAAGGCAUGGUUUUCGAGACUUCAAAUUAUGAUUUUCGUGAUUACAAAAACACGUUUACCAGCCCUUUGGUCAUGAGCUGGGUUGGAGACGAAUCUAUAUUCUUAGAAGCAAAGAAACAACUUUGACAUCCCAAAACUUGAUUUUGUCUCAAAGAAUGAAUAAAAUCCCUUUAUGAUAAGCCUCCUACUAGAUUGGAAGUGAGAAGUUCCUCAUUCACGGUAUGCUUGUUUUUUUCUUCUUGAUUUGGUUGCUACUCCUUAUGAGCGUACACUAAAAGGAUGCACACAAGGACUCACAAACUAAAAGGGAACCCGUAAUACCCAGAUUCUGAAAAUCUGCCAUCGGAACGGUUUGAUGCAAAGGAGCAGAUAAGUCACAUAUAUAUGGCUAAAUAUCGAAUCCUGGCUAAGGACCUUACUUGUAUGAGUAAUAAAGAUUAUAAACUUCUUGCAAUCUUUGCAUAACUUGAUCCAAACAAGUCCUGACGGGCAAACAACUUGUUAGCCUCUCCAAUUCCCCACAAGCACUGGUGCCGUGUCAUAGCUGCUUCAGAUCACCACUUGGGUAUAUAAAAGCAGCGGCUCCUAUAAAUUGGCGGCUGGGACAUAUAUAUGCGUAGGCAAAAGGCAGAAAAUCGAACAGUAGAUCAGUGGCAUCCAACCGAUAAGGAACACCUCUUGGCACAGUAGACACAAUAACCAGGUCACUAAAUCCAGCAUGAACCAGAAGUGCAACAAAAAUUGCAGGAUACGAUAAUACCAAGUCUAGCUACAUGGCCUAGGUCAUAACGUGUAUAUUGCCGAUUCUACCCCUCUUCCUCUCAGGGUAGAACUGCCAUAAUACGCAAAAAAAUGAAAGGGACGAAAACGUUGUGGUAGCGUAUGUGCUUUCAGCGUUGCAUUUCUGAAUAGUCAAAGACAUGGCAUAUCCACCAAUGGUCCACAUCUUCUCACCCUACUCGAAAAAGAAUCCUGUACAGAAAUGAAAAGCCAAUGUAAGAGUCUUGGUGUAUCAGCAGAAGUAAAAAAAAAGGUUCAGUUACUUGACAAUGAAAACCAAGAUACCGAGACAUGGUAUGGUAAGUAUGAAGGAGAACCGCUUUACCAUGUGCAACUUACCUUGACAUUAAUUUGGGGACAAACUUCCAUUACAUCUCAUACAGGUAUUUCUAGCUGAUAAUCUAAUGCAAAAAACAUCUAGCUAAACUGCCCCCAAAUGAAAAUGCAGAAAAAUGUCAUAAAAAAUUGAUGGCAAAGGAAAUGUGAAAUAAGCAAUCAUCACAGAUACUGCUAGAAUUGGUAUGUAUAGACUUAUAUUUUUGAAGAAAAUAUUAUGUGAAUCCUGGUAUCACAGAUGGCGAAUAAUUUAGUGCUGAAUCACAAGGAAACCGAGCACCGAAUAAUUUAUCCCAUAAGAACAAGGAGCUGCUCAGGUCUAGGGAGCCACAAAAAUUGUUACCGAUUAGCACAAACUAUAUAUUACUCCUAUUCAACAACACAAAGUGAAGGUACGCAUGAACAUACAUUUGAGCUUGAUCAGAGCCAAUCAAAAUGUGAAGGUACUGUAUUACUACUCUGAAUAAUCUAUUCAGAAAUUUGUGCUAGUGCCUACAAGACCAGAACUAAUCAACAAGCCCACAAGUUGCGUCUUUCUGUUUCUUUCUGCAACACAGUUAAAAUAAACAUCCUCUGCCAACAAAAUGGGUUGUUUUCCCUUUUGCGCUCAGAUUUCGAUGCCUCAAACAAUCUGCAAUCCUUGCAAACUGUUCUUUCUACAUACUAAUUCACAAAGUUUGUACUUCACUAUUUGCUUUGUUAGUUUCCAUUCCCACAUAUGGUUAAUACAAAGUUUCCUUCCCACACACGAAGAUUAAUUUUGGAAUAUAGCUAGAGAGCAUGGAAAGUGUCAUUAGUUUGCUCACGUAUGUUAAGCGCAGCACACAGUAACUUGAUAACUUUAUAAAUCCUCUCCUCGACCACAUCACACUUGACUUCAACUAUGUUAAGGUGCCGUGAUAUUGCAGACGGUCUCUCCAUUGAUUUGUAGCUUCCUUUCAAAUGCAGUUUAUUAUUUGGUCCGUACGGUAAGAAAAAAAAAACUUCUAAACCAAGAUGAUGACUGAUAAUAACUUUACUCAUGCAGCAACUAUCCAUUAUAAAGUUCUAUACCAUGGAAAAAAGUUGAAGAGUGAGUUUCUCCAGAACUGGUGAGUUUUUCAGAAUGCAAAGCAGUGGAUCCAAACCAGGAGCCUCGGACCAGUACUCGUUGAGUAGUAAACUCUUUAGCUUGCUGAAUGUAGGGCAGUGUUUCAAAUCUCUUGCGAAAAUGAACUGGAAAGAAAAUACAAAAGUAAGUAAAUCAAGUAAACCUUACUGAAAAUGCAAGAUGAUGAUCUAAUGCCGAAUUAAAGCCAUACCUUUCUAGGUUGAGAUCUCAGCUCAAGAUGUUUACACUACUGGAAUACUGGGCUACGCCGAGUGCCCCAGACACUCAGCAAAGGGCCGAAAACCGCCAGCAAAGCCUUUGCCGAGUGUCACCCUCGGCGAAAGCCACCCGGCAUACACCUUUUCGGCAAACAGGAUUUUGCCGAGAGCCAGAACACGGGCACUCGGCAAAGACUUUGCCGAGAGCCAAACAGUACCACUCGGAAAAAUAAAGUAGCUAACGGAUAGCAGACGGUGCCAGCGGUUCCUGACACGUGGGACCAGGGGAACAGGCCGAGGGGCUUCUUUGCCGAGUGCCACUCUCGGCAAAGCCACCCAGUAGGUGGCUGACACGUGUCAGCUCCUGACAUGUGGGACCAGGCGAACAAGCCGAGGGCCAUCUUUGCCGAGAGACACUCUCGGCAAAGCCACCCAGUAGGUGGCUGACACGUGUCAGCUCUUGACAUGUGGGACCAGGCGAACAGGCCGAGGGCCAACUUUGCCGAGACCCACUCUCGGCAAAGCCACCCAGUAGGUGGCUGACACGUGUCAGCUCCUGACAUGUGGGACCAGGCGAACAGGCCGUGGGCCAUCUUUGCUGAGAGCCACUCUCGGCAAAGAGAGCCAGUAGGUGGCUGACACGUGUCAUCUCCUGACAUGUGGGACCAGGCGAACCGGCCGAGGGCCAACUUUGCCGAGAGCCACUCUCGGCAAAGAGAACAAACUAGGAGGCUGACACGUGUCACCUCCUGACAUGUGGGACCACGAGAGCAGGCCGAGGGCCAGCUUUGCCGAGAGCCACCCUCGGCAAUCCUUUUCCCUUUACCGAGAGCCCUCUCGGUAAAGUUGUCAGGGGCACCACAGGUUAUUAUCCUUUACCGAGAGGCCUCUCGGUAAAGGGUGCAUUCUGGUCCAGUUUCACAGUCAUUACCGAGAGCCACCCUCGGUAAUGGUGUGCCCAGGAGCCUUUUUUUCCUGUUUCUGUUUCUUUCCUGCAGCAAAACAUAUACAGCAGCAUAUAGUUCAUCACACAUAUAACAUGUCACAUAUAGGCAUCAUUGAACAAAAGAAGCAAUGAUUCUGAAAAGCAUUCCACAUAAAAAGCAAUAGUGCAUAAAAGGUGAAAUAAUAGUGAAGACAUUCGACUACCACAAGUUUACAAGUCUCAAGAUGCAAGAGUUCUCAACAUACAAGGAACAAUUUCAAACAUAACAUAACAUGAAGUUCACACGAUUUUGGAUAUCGGAGUGAUAACAUCAACAUUAGAAGGCAUCAUUCCGUUUGCUGCCCCAACUCCAUCAACCGGAGUGAUAACAUCAACAUUAGAAGGCAUCAUUCCCUUUGCUGCCCCAACUCCACCAACUUGAGGUGGAACUACCGGAACAUUGUUCGACCCUUGUGAUGGGUUGAGCUGUGAUGGAUUGACCCAAUAGUGAGAUGAAUGCAUAUGGUAAUGCCGAAAAUGGUGAUAGAAAUAGUUUGAACGAAACUCGCAAUGUUCCACUCUGGCGUCGGUGGCAUCUCUGGCACUGGUUGGCCUUGCAUGGAAUAAAGAUUGGCCACCAUAUGUUGUAAAUACUUCACUAGAUCAUCUUGUGCCUUCAGCGUGGCCCGGUUUUCAUCUCGUUCUUUCUCGGUGUCAAUCAGUCGAGUCUACAAUAUGGCAAUGCAAAUGUCAUUCAUGUUGAAAUGCAAAUACGCAGGACCAUGAAGGAUCAAUGAAGAAGCACUGACCUGAAUAUCCUCAAUAAUGCUCAUGGAAUGUGGCACGUGACGCUCUAUGGUAGGAGUAGAGCCAGUACUCAUAGCACGGAGCGUGUUGACUCUCGGAAGGGAGGAGGUUAUGACAGAAUCGAGGUGAACCGCCAUCCGGCCAUUCGGUCUACCGCCUGCCGCGGUAAUGGCCACAAGAGGGUCAAACGGUAGCACGUGAGGAUCAGCGUCAGGCCCGUACGUCUCCUUCAAUUUUUUGGUGUAGUUCUCUCCAUCUGACCGGGCUUUAGAGCUGAUCCAGUCCCUCUCCGGGUGGAGAGGGUCCUUGUCCUUGUCGUCUUUGGUACGUUUGAUGGUCCAUGCCUCAAAGUAAGUGAUAUCCUUGCCAGUGUCUUCUUUCUGCAUAAGAAAGCGAUCCAAACAAUCAAGGGAAUGCUCACAAAUGAAAGAGAACAUGAUGAAAAGGAUGUGGUUGCCUACAUGUUUUGAGACGACACCUGGGAUGGUGAGGUUGCCUUGACGGUGUCCUCGACCCCCCAUCAACUUACGCCGUUCAGAUAUUACUUUGUGUUCAUCCUGCCACCCUGGAUCUGUCCACCGUUCGACGAUCUUCUCCCAGCACGGACGUUUGUCAGCGCACCACCGAGGAAUCACCUGUAAAUUAAACAAAUACAUCUUAGUAAUGAUUCUAAUUUUGCGGUAAUGUAGGGAAUAGCAAGCAUCCAUCGUCACUUGCCUUGAAGUAAUUGUCCCAUGAAAGAUGCGUCCCUCGAGCCUCCUGUUUGGAAAUCCUAUGGUUGAGAUAGUCCGCGUGAUACUUGACCACUAACCGGACGCACUCCUCAUAGUGCAUGUCGUGGACUAGUUUCUUGGCAAUAUUCUCGACCACCACAUUUGCACGAUCCUUCUGACCCUCAACGCAUGUAUAGAAAUCCUACAAACAUGCAUACAUGUGAGAAGGGUUAAAUCAUGACUAUGGCAAAUUUAAACCUUUUGGUAUUGACAUUUAGGUGUUUGAAAGGACUUACCCAGAAAUCGUUGACCACUCGCAUGGCUCUGUUAUCAUAAACCCUUUGACGCAUAUCCAGGAAAUCCGGUGCAAGUUUGUAGUGAUCCCAUGACCAAGCUGGCUCAAUGAUACCGUUCGGCAAAGUGACCAGUCCAGGAUAAUUUAACCUACAAAGACCCCCAAUGAUGCCACUCGGCGACCGUGGCAGACGCCUCUCACCACCUUUUACUAAGCUUCUGCAUUUCUAAGAGUGAAGUCAUAUUAUAUGUGAGGAAAUGACAAAAGGUACAAUUUAUAUGGGAUGAAUCGAGAUAACCACUUACUUCUCUCCCAUUGGUUUAAUCAACACGUCUCUAUGCACAUAUGGACGUCUUGGAAGCUUUGAAGGACCACGCAGCCACACUUUCCCUCCGGAAGUAGUGCUGAUAGUCGAACCGCUCUGUUGCGAACCGCUCACCUCGUGGUGCUCUAUCACCUGUGAGGGUCCAUCCCCACCCUCAGAAACCUGACGAACAACCAGCCUCCUCUCGGCGGCGUCGUCCUCCACCACCUCCUCCUCCUCAUCCUCCACCACCUCCUCCGCAAAAUCCUCCUCGUCCUCCUCCUCACACACCUCAUCCCCAUCCUCUGGUUCCUCCUCCUGAGCACGGUGAAGCACUGCAUCAGAGGGUCGAGCAGAAGAAAGAGGUGCUCUACUCCGGGCUGCUUUACGUACUCCUCCUCCUGCCUCACAUACCCCCCCUCCUCGUCCACCUCCUCCUCCUGACUCANNNNNNNNNNNNNNNNNNNNNNNNNNNNNNNNNNNNNNNNNNNNNNNNNNNNNNNNNNNNNNNNNNNNNNNNNNNNNNNNNNNNNNNNNNNNNNNNNNNNNNNNNNNNNNNNNNNNNNNNNNNNNNNNNNNNNNNNNNNNNNNNNNNNNNNNNNNNNNNNNNNNNNNNNNNNNNNNNNNNNNNNNNNNNNNNNNNNNNNNNNNNNNNNNNNNNNNNNNNNNNNNNNNNNNNNNNCUACUCCCCCUCCUCGUCCACCUCCUCGUCCGCCUCCUCCUGCCUCACCUACUCCCCCUCCUCGUUCGCCUCCUACUCCUCCCCCGCGUGGUACUCGACCUUGUUUCGCACGUUUUGCCGGACGGGUGUCUAGACCCGCCAAUCCUUUGGCCUUCUUGGCGGUUGUGGCAACCGAUGAAGGAGCGACCACCGCUUUCACCGGUCGAGCAGGUUGAUCAUUGUACAGAUCAUUCACUUUUUUCAAACUUUCCUUUGGAAUCUUCUUGCUACCUGUCAUGUUUCAAUCACCUGAUAUGAAGAAGAACAAACCAGUUAGUACAGAUGAUACAACUUGAUGUAAAUACAAUAAAUAUAUCACAUAUGAAGAAUAAAUGGAAUUGUCACAAUAAUACAUAUAGUUGUUACACACACAAAU